rnacentral:lncRNA from 1 species
UGCUUUUUUUUCCCUAUCGAUUGCCAUGUUCAGAAGUUUGUGUGACAGUGCGUUUAAUAUGUGCAAGUGAAGUUUUUUUUCUGAGUUGAAAUACACAAAUAUUUUUUUUUUGUGAGAGAGGUAGGCAGUUCAGGCGUAUAAUUGUGUUAAUUAUGCCUUUUUCAGUCUGAUAUAGGCAAUUUAUGUCCGUAUGAAACUAUGACGUCAAAAUAUAGAUGGAUGUCACAGGCUUUGUAUUUUCUAUAUUGCUGUUAUCGAUGCAAAUCUAAUCGGUGAUCUGUGUCUUGAAGUCAUUAUGUACUACUAUUUGGUGGCCGUCAUUGUUUGUAAUGUCUUGAUGCUUUGAGCCAUGCAUGUACAUAACAUACUUUACAAAAGUUUUUUUCCCUUGUCCAGGAGUUUUAUGCAAAUACUGCAUUUAUUUGUGUUUAGGAAUAUUGGGAGUUAAUAGUCAGUUUCGUCAGAUUUAAAGAUUAGAGGUUUAUGAAUAGCAAUUGCAUGUCCUUUGUUUUUUAUCAGUUCAUCGCUGCCAUCUUCAGUUUUUACUGUUUAAGUUGUGUUAUAGGUAAGGUUUGUUUAGUUCUUGCCGUCGCAGCAUCGCAUGCCACCACGCCCCAACAGCAGGAUGCUGCACUCUGUUUGCUUCAUGCUGUAGCUUAGUCACGACAAAGAAAACAAGCAGCAGCUCAAUGGCACGCCAAAAGCUUGGCUGACGAUUCGUUCCUGCGGCUUAGGUGCGACCGGAGCUGCAGCUAGGCAUAUUCUGGCGGCAACCAAACAGGGCUGUAGAAUCUCAAUCCUGACCACUUUUUGGUUUUUUCAUUCAUCAAAACAGUAUGUAUUUAUAUACCCCCCUAUUGCCGCCGCUUUGCUACCCUGCAGGUUGACCUUCGCUACAAGCACAUGCUAUAGGACAUUCUCCCCUGCCCCCACAAAACAAUGUGCCUGAUUUGCAGUGGCCUUGUUAGUUUCUUCUUCGCUUUCUUUGUAUCAUCCUAACUAGUGAUCUUGUUAGAUUUUCGUUGUUGAAGUACCAGGUAUAGACGCAUCUUGUAGAUCAUGACGAGAUGAUGUAGCUGUAACCUGUAGGCACAUCUGCAUUAGGACCAAAUGAGGUUGCUACAGGUCCAGGAGUAAGAUUCUGCAGUUGGCAAAUCUGCAACAGUUGCAAGCAUAGAAUGCAUUUGUGAUAUGGCACCAAUCACUUUAUUGUAGGUCCAAUUCGAACCCAUUAGGCAAUAUUAUGCUACUGAAUUAGGCAAAACAAUUUGCUCACAAAGCAAUAAUAUGAUUCUAAAUUAGCAAUGAUAUGGCUCUGAAUUAGGCAAUAAUAUAUACAAGAAUUAGAAAAAUAUAUUUCUAUAUUGUGCAAAGCAAUAUACUUCAUUAAGCAAUUUUGAGCAUUUCAUAAUUCCUUUUUUGAUUGCUUGCAUCCACUAGUAGAUCACAUAUAACUGCCAGCACUGCUACUAGAUAUAGAAGUCAGUUUUUCAGCCUGAUCAGACUUGUUAUUUUAGUCUACUAUAUGUCAUCUAAUUGUUGCUUCUUUGUAAUUCUGAAAUGAAAACUGUAGCAAAGAAAUACUGAUUGUUCAAUUGAUCAAUCCUAAGUUACCUAAUGUGAUGUUCUUUGUGCAGACUUGGUGAUGCCCACCCGGCGUACUGAAUGACGCAUGCUGUGCUAUUUUGAUUCAAAUUUUGCACGAGGGAAAUUUUUUUCCCCUUUUGCUAGGGGCAUUGAUUGUUACGGUUUGAGAUAUUUGUGCAAAUGCAUAUCAUGUACCAUGACAAAUUGCAGAUCGGAUUGAUUUUUGUACAAUGGAUAUAAUGCACUGCUUGCUAGAUCAGAGAUAAGUUUUUGUAUAGAUGCACGGUGAUUCCAAACUGAAUGAAUACAUGUGUUUUUAUUAGUCAAACGGAUACCGGUGUAUAGAGUUAGGAAAAUGAUCUCUCGUCCCGAGACUUAGUACCGGUCACUUUUUGAUCCGGUAACCCGGUACUAAUGUUAGCAUUAGUACUGGAUCUAAAGGAUAGUCACCGAGGAGCCCCGUGACCCCCUUUAGUACUGGGUGGAGCCUCCACUCGGUACUACCUUUAGUACCGGGUGGGAGCUUCACUCGGUAUUAAGGAUCCAAAGGCACAAUAGUAUCGGGUGGAAGAUCCACCCGGUACUAAAAUCUCCGUCCGCCAUCUUUUUUCCUCCCCCGCCGCUGUCUUUUUAAUUCUUAUCCUUUCUCUCUCAUAGCUAUCUCCUACCUCCUCCCGUCUCCCAGCUGUCUCUCUCAUAGCUAUCUCUUUCUCCUUUCUCUAUCACAGCUUCCUCUCUCACGACGGCGGGAGCGGCAUCGGGUGGGAGGGGACCGGCGAAGAGGGGUGGAGGGAGGCGGAGCGGCUAGGGGGAGGGGCGGGGCCGGCAAGGGGAUUUUGUUUUAAUACCCUUGAGUACCGGUUAUUUCAGCCGGUGCUGAAGAGCCUUCCUCUAGUACCGAAAUGCCAGUACCGGUUGCACAACCAGUAUUAAAGGGGUUCCCAACCGAUAGUAAAGACGUUUUCUCUCCUAAUGUUACUUAAUUUGGCAGUUUACCAGAAAUGGCAUGCUUCAAAUCAAGUAACUUUCCCUAAUCAGGCCGGUCGUACGGGAGGUCUAAACCUUUUCCCUCGUCGUCCUGUCCUCACGGACGCUCGCUUCCCGCUGCCACCACCAUCAUGCUCAGCCACGGGCCUCGGCAUCAUCAUUCAACAGCCAAGUGCUCAAAAUCGUUUAAUUUGUGGUAUAUUUUUCUCCUUGCACGGCUUCGUUCAUAGUAACACGAUAGCUUCUGGACAGAUGGAUGGAGUGUGCUUCACAUUCUCUAACUGCUCCCGUUUGUAGGAUUUCUGAAUCGAACUUUCGGCUAAUACAGUAAUUUAUUACAUUGAUGCCCACUUCAGCUGCUAGAUGGUCUGUAAAAAACAGCACAUGCUUAUCGUUUCGACAACAAAAUUGUGAAACCCAUGGUCUUUAUUCACAAAAUCAUGGAAUAUAGGCCAAAUUUUCACUUCUUGAUUCUUUUACUAUAAAAUACGUUGUGAUUACACUAUGUGUUUGGCUUUAUUACAGAUGAACUGCAUAUAUCUUUGUUCCAUUCGUUUAUUGACCUACUUUUUCAAGGUCUGAUAUGUACAUGUCUACCUUGGUGAUCCUUGAGUUGUGAAAAAAAAAAUUGUAGCGUACUUACAAUAUGGUUAUGCACUGUCAAAUAAUUAAUGUACAAUUAUCUAAUUUCCUCACAUACUCGUGUAUUAGAUUAUUGUUAUUUUUUUUAGAAGAAUGGCAUUCAUUAUAGAAGAAUAAUAGAGUUCAAAAUAAUAGGCUUCGAAGCAUGCUAUUUUUUUUCAAGCUUCGGAAUCGACGUGACGAUGCCCGCGGCAACGCGCGGGGGUUUUCGGCUAGUCUUUCAUAUUUCUAAGUUUGUAGUGACAUAUUCCAAAACCAGCAUAAAUUUAGCGACAUGGAUCCAUGAUACCGUGUUGCCAAGUCCACAAACCACAUAUGUAUUUGCCUACAAUUCACAUGUUUUUAUUUGACAGGCACUCUGGACCGCCGGACGACGAUUCAACGGUCUAGGUGCUGCCACCUACUCCCUUCUUCAUCCGUGCUAGACUCUCCACAUACCUACUACUGUCUUCGUCGGAUCAACAUCUGUCACUUUGCAUUUGGUACCCCACCACUUUGGGGUUGCAAAUUGUUGGUGUCCUGGUCGCCUGACCUCAUAUCACCCAACUGUAUAUCAUGUGGUUCCUAUCGUAAGAAAUUGGGAGGACUCCUUUUAAAACGUCUCCAACCUCUGAGAAAUCUUAGCGCACUGUCCGGAAAAAUCAUCCCCGAAAAUGAUGGAUUAUAUUGGAAGCAUAAAUAAAAAAAAAGGCUUCACGGGCCCGCGAAAAACCUAAGAAGAUGGUAACCCUCGCAAACGCCCCUAUAUAUGGAGAGUGCAUCAUCGUCCGAAGCCCUUAAUUAAUCUUGUAGGUGGUGUUGCUGCGUACGUUACAAAUUCGAGAUUUCAAUCGCUUGACGAUCUCAGCAAACGUGUAGCAUCACCUAGGAAAUGGAUAUGCGAAUAAUAAUUGCAAAAGCAAGUACAUUUGAUUUUGGUUUGAACUAUAGCAUGUUCAUUUGAUUUUGGUUUGAACUAUAGCUCUUGGUCGACGAUCCGGCAGGAGCCCACGGUACAGAUAACAAGACUCCGCGAGCAGCCGUAUGUAAUUAUGCAUGCGUGACAACGGCAACCCGCAAGUGACCAGCCUCCGCAGCUCCGCCAGUCCACAGUUCACCUCAUCACAUAAUAAUAGGGCCAUCACUGUCUGAUUUAUUUUGAUCUGAGCUCGAUCCGUCGUCUGGUCCAAUGGGUCCUUUUCCUCCUGCUCGUGUGUAAUACGAUUCCUCGAGUCACAACACAUUGUCAUUUUCAGAAGCUUGGAGUCGGAUCUCUUAAGAGCUUGUAUAGUUGUAUCUUCAUCAUCGUUUCAACCGAUUUCAACCAAUAUUCUAAAUAGCGGGCUAUGAUAUUUAGCAGAGAGCUUUUUUAGCCACUAUAGCUUCGCUAUAAUGCGCUAUAGUGUUAAUAUGGCCCGCUAUUUAGUACAAUAAUUUUAUAGCGGCAGUUGCCAAAAUCUACUAUAACCCGCUAUUUUGAGCACUGAUCUCAACACAUAAGAAGUAUAUAAGAGUAGAAAAUCGAGUCUAAAUUUUAUCCAGUUGAUUAAGCGGACAACAUAGAUCGCUGAGCUUGAGCCCAAGAAGAAAAGGCCCAGGUUUUUUUCUUAAAAAAAUAAAAAAAUGGUUAAAAGCUAAAUAAAAGAAAAUUUAAAAUAAAAGUAAGAAAUAGAAAAGAAAAGGAAAAACAACACCUGGGCCGUGCUCCCUCCCUCUACGCCCACGCACGUCUUUACGGUCAUCUCCAGCGCAGGCCUAGAGUUUAUCGCGCCAAACUCACACUCACUAUUGGCCCGUCAGAGAUUUCUCGGCUUCAGAGCGACAAUAAUCGCUGAGCUUGAGCCCAAGAAGAAAAGGCCCAGGUUUUUCUCCAGCCCACGCGAUUCCCGUUCAAGCCCGCAGCAGAGGCAGGAGGCCAUAAAUAACCCUAGCAGCAGCUCGUGCAGACGCCAGAUCGAUUCCUUGUUCGCCCCCAAUCCAUUCCCCACCAAAAGCCGUCAAGCCGGAGGCGGAGGAGGAAGGAGAUCGAGCGGAGGCGACGCAGCCGGAGAUGAAGACUUUCGACCCGUGGCCGGUGUUCUUCCGCCGGGAGUGGCGCCGCAACUGGCCCUUCCUCACCGGCUUCGCCAUCACCGGUUUCCUCAUCACCAAGAUGACGGCCAACUUCACCGAGGAGGACCUCAAGAACUCCAAGUUCGUCCAGGAGCACAAGAAGCACUGAUGGGACCAGGUGAGACGCCCCCGCCUCCCUCGUCGGCGAGAUCCGUGCAUCUAUGUAUCGCGUUGGAGGAGGCUAGAUCUGUUUGUUCCCUGUUAUUCACUUAUUCCUCGUGCCGCCGCAUGUGCUGCCUAGAUUCCGCUCGUGGUUGACCCUGGUGUUUGAUGUUGCUGCUGCUUGUUGAUGCGAUGCGUCAUGCGUGUAAUCUUUACCUGAUCUGUUCUAAUAGCGCUUGAAUCGAUAGGUUAUUCGACCGUGAGUUGGAUUUUGGGGGUAAUUCGGUGUAGGGAGGAAAAAGGCGCAUAUGCAUUUUUCUUAUUGCUUUAGGGAAAUGGAUGGUUUAGUUGUCAAAUCAUCUAACUAGUUUAUCUCUGUCAUAGAUAGUUCGGAUUGACCAAACGAGAUUAAUGCCAUUUCUGCUUUCUUUGGUCUGUGGGAUAUGAGUCUGAGUCUAAGGCCACCACUUGUUUGGCAAUAUGUUCUAUCACAGCAAACCUCACACCUGCUGUUGUACUUCUGACAUUUCCCUUUUUUAACAAUGGAUCAUGGCUCUUAACUGGUGUAACAUUGCUCAAUUCAACCAGUCUGAAAGUUCUGCACCUUUACUACUGCAAAUUGUCUAAUUUGUAACCCUGGUGCUUGAUACUGUCAAGAUGCCUAAGCCUGAGUGCUUUCUGAUAUGCUCCUUGAGGACUCUCUUCUGUUCCUCAUUAACUCAGCCAACUUGCCCACCUUUUUCUCUAGAAUUAACACAUAUCAACUCUCAGCUGACCUACUACUUUUGAGUAAUUGUGGAAAUGCAAAAAAGGAUAGGAUCUAAUUCCUGCGUCUUGUAGCCUCUUGGUGACCACCUGUGUUGUUUGUUGCCAUUUAAUUACUUAAGACUUGAGAUGAUAAGCUUCUUGUUUGAGAAUUUUGAAGACCUCCCUCCCCACUACGACAGUAGUAAGAGUUCUUAACUCUCCCCUUUUGAUGGUUCAAUGGAAUUUAUCACUUUAUAGUGUUGUUGCCUCAGUAUAUUUUGCAUGCUGACGCCCCAUGAUCAUUUCUUAGGACCUAGUUUGAUAGGUGCAGAAACUGUUCGCUGACUUAUUUUCUUUUAUGGUUACAUGCUGGACUUUGACAAUUGAGCAAUUUUCGAAAUAUGUGUGGCUAAUGUGCGGAUAGCUCGUGAUAGUAGAAUUAAAUGCUGUCAUGAGCAUUGGCAUUAGAUGUGUGGGUAAUUGAUUGUGAGGUCCUACGUGGAGGAUCAUAGCUGUGGGUAGUCGCGCUUUCUCGCAGUAUUAGCGUGAUAAGGUAUUGAUCUUUGCUCGUAAAGUAGGCUGUAAAGAUGUUUAUGUACUUGUAGGAAAGUCUAGCCGUCUCUGUACAAGACCUUUUCUUAGUAUACCCUUUUGGUGGUUACAAACUUACAAUGAAUCCAUCCCUUGAUAAUGUUAUCGCUUGAGUAUAUUUUGCAUACUGGUGCCCCUGAUCAAUUCCUAGGGCAUAGUUUCUUUGGUGUGGUUGUCAUUUUUCUCUGAAUAACCUUCUGUUAUCUUGACAUGUUAGAAAAGAAAUUGACUAUCAACCUUCUGGUGGUGAAAAGGAAGAUCUUGGCCUUGAAAUAAAACAUCCGUAUCUGACAAUAAAUCAUUAGUUUGUUGGGUUUCAGCUUGUAGCUUGUGGGUAUUAUUCAUACAAUUUUUAUGCUAUCAUAUUAUGAAUGCAUUUGAUGAAAGAAUAAUUGAUUGUUUAGUCCAUUGAGGGCAAAUGAACAAAGCUGUUUUGGAUGGAAUAUGUUUGUCAUGUAGUUUCAUAGUAAUCCAAAUCUCCAUGGAUCUUGGUCUUUCUCUUUUAAACUGUUAAACCUGCAAGGAUCUCCAAUGUGUCGUUUUGCAGUUGAUGUUAUAUUCUGGUUUAAUAUUUUGAAAUCAAAGUGCUUAACGCUUUCAGUUCCUGCAGGUGGAGUUGUCCAUGUUGCCUAGGUGGCCAGCCAAUUCUGUUGUUCUGUUUGAAUGAAAUUAGUCCACCUUCCUUUUCUCUCCUUUUUCAUCCAAAUGCGUGCACUCUAUGCUCCGUUUGUAAUGUAAUAAGAGGCAAAUGAAUUGUUGAACCAGAAAAAAAAUCAGCUUCUGAUUGUAAUACUCCCAAGUUUGAUGAGGUUUCCUGACUUAUAUCUGGGACAUGUGCGCAUGCACUCACUCUAUAUCCUUUUGACUACUUAAUUAGAAAACUAUUGAAGAUCUUGUCAAUUGAUUUUAGCCUGUUUGAGUUUGAAAGGGACCGAGGUCUUGCACGAAGUCUAGUAAUAAUUCACCAAUGGCGCUAGACUUGCAAGGGCAUGGUCAAGAACGCCCAAUGGAAGUGGGGGCUCAAGGACUUCGACCAAAUCUGACCUCAUCAAAUUUGGGGACGCAAAGUUGAGGUAGGAUUCUUGAAUCCUAAAUGUACGCAUGAAUCCAGCCACUGCCACACGCAGUUUUUUUUCUCCCUUUUGCCGUCCAGCUCAGGAUAGGCAAAAAUCUCCUUUUAACUAUAUUAACGCUUUCCUCUAAUCACACAAUAAAAGUCCAUCUAGUAGGAUCAUCAAUUUUAGCUCUGGCCAUCAAUAUCGAAAAUUCACUUAGAUUGACCUACAAGGUGGGUGCUAAUGCUACUAGCUAUUAUCAUGAAAAAAACUUUCAUAAUAUUAAGGGGGUGUUUGGAUACUAGGUGCUAAACUUUAGCAGUAUCAUGUCGGAUGUUCGGAUGCUAAUUAGGAGGACUAAACAUAAGCUAAUUAUAAAACUAAUUGCAGAACCCCUGGACUAAUUCGCGAGAUGAAUCUAUUAAGCUUAAUUAAUCCAUCAUUAGUAAAUGGUUACUGUAGCACCACAUGGUCAAAUCAUGGACUAAUUAGGCUUAAUAGAUUCGUUUCGCGAAUUAGACUUCAUUUGUGCAAUUAGUUUUGUAAUUAGUCUAUGUUUAAUACUCCUAAUUAGUAUCAAACAUCCGAUGCGACAGGUGCUAAAUUUUAGUGGGUGGUAUCCAAACACCCCCUGGAUCUUCCUAUUUUAAGAUAAUAACUUUCAAAGAUAUCGAUGUCAUGAUAGACUUAUAUUUCUUAUAUUAUAGAAAAUACCAAGGUAAUCUCUUUUUUCUAUCUCUGUCUCUCUUUCGAACUAUCGUGUGGUCAUGAUCUUUAAUUUGGAUCGCAGCUUGCAAAAUUUCUUUGCCUGAUAUGUGACUAGCCUAGAAACCAAUAAUCACCCCAACCUAUAGUCUCGAUCGGCACUUUCUUUCCCUGUUCGUUUUUUCAAUCCUUGCCUACGGCAUAUCUUUUCAUGGCAAAUUUGAAAUUGCUCUUGACAAUAAUAGAUGAACUAAAGCUUAACACGAAAAUGUGAGAUGCUCAAGUGACAGAUGCCCAACAUUUUAGACUGACAAUGACAUACUAACAAAAAAUUAACUUGAAGGCGGACAGAUGUUAAUCAAUAGAUUUUAGCCUAAAGAUUUGUAAAUUAUACAACAACAAUUUUAUGCUGUUGUUUACUCUAUAUGAUGUAAAUUGUAAUGUAGUAUAAUAGAGGAGAUAGUGGUAAAAUUAUAAUCGUGUAGACUAUUAUACUCCAUCCGUCCCAAAUUACUAUUCAUUUUAGCUUUUCUAAAUAUAUAAUUUUUGAUAUGGAUCUAGAUGUAUGUAUGUAUGUUUAGAUACGUAGCAAAAACAACGUAUUUAGAAAAGUCAAAAUGAAUAGUAAUUUGGGAUGGAGGGAACGUCAAACCGUGCCUUACAUUUAAAAUGAGACAUUACUAAGAAUGUUAGAAAAGCCACAUCAAAUUUGAAGCAACGAGCUGCAUAUCUGCACCUAGCUAGUGCUAUAAAAUGUCGCACCAAGCUGAAGCCAUUUGAGAAACCUGAGCCGAGCAAUAGCUAGCCAAAGUGAAGGCAUCCUCGCCAUCAUCGCCGACGAUGCUUUGAGGCACAGCCAACAGGUGGCGAGAGCUCCAUGGCAAGGACUUGUGGAAGGGCCUCCUGGACCCGCUCGACAUCGCCCUCCGCAAGUCCAUCAUCUCCUACGGCGAGCUCGCGCAGGCCACCGGCGUGCAUGCACGGCCGCUUCGACCUCCUGUGCAGCUCCGGCGCGUCGGCUGCCGCCGACUACGCCGUCACCAAGUUCGUCGGCGCUGCCCGUGCCCAACGCGUUCCUCCUCCGGUCAGCACCGGGGCUCAACCAGGACGCGUGGUGCAGGGAGUCCAACUGGAUCGGGUACGUCGCCGUGGCCACCGACGAGGACGCGGCCAGGCUGGGGCGGCGCGACGUCGUGGUGGCGUGGCGCGGGACGCUGAGGAACCUGGAGUGGGUCAACGACUUCGACUUCACGCCGGUGCUGGGCGCCGCGGCGGCCGCGCACCCGCUCGCCAUGGCGCAUAGGGGCUUCCUGUCGGCGUACAGGUCCAGCAACGCGAACUCCAAGUUCAACAGUCCAGCGCCAGAGACCAGGCAAGUCGACACCUUGUUAGUUCUUAUUGUACUUACAAGGAGAGUAUUCAUGAGUACGGUUCCGUGCGAGAUAGUGCAUGUUUCAUUGAUAUAGCAAAAAAUACCAGAUUAUACCUGGAGGCUACGACCAGGAAAAGUAAAAGAAACUAUGAAAAAAACAACUACAAUCUCAGCCGGAGGCCAACGAUGAGGCGACCAAGGAGGAAGCCAAGCACCGAACCAGCUACGCUAAGCAUGACCGAACGCUGCUAAGCCGACAAAGAACCUUAAAGUGCACUACCCAUCUCCACCAGCACCUGAUAGCACGCCAAUCGGCAAUGUGACCUCCAGAUGACUCCACGAAGUGAGAUAUAGAGGGAGUGGGCGAGAGAGAAGAAGAUCCGCACUUCCCUGCACUAACCCGCGAGACACCUAGGAACCUAACCACCACCGGAGCGAAGCCACCGAGGAGGCGGAAAAGGCAGAACGGGAAUUACAAGGACGACGCCUCCAACAAGGAGGCGACGCAAAGCGCCGUCGUCGCCCGCCCAAGAGAUCUCAGGCAAGGUUUUCACCAGUAGUUCUUGCUAGGAAGCACGGGGAGGAGGCCUCAACAACGUCCCCAGGAGGAGCGCGAUGCCCAGAACGCCGCCGUUGUCAGCCUGACACCAGGCUAGGCUUUCGCCCGGCUAUUGCCGGCCUUCCUGCUGCCACAGCCCAUCGCCCUCCAAGGUCUCCACCAUCGAGCGGCCACCAGCCAAGCCCGCUGCACCACCAGCCUGUGUUGCGCCAUGGAGCUUCCCGCGCCGCCAAGAGGGGCUAGCCACCAAGAUCACACCUGCGCUGAAUUCCCCAGCUAGCUGCCGCUGCCGCACCGACCUAGUACUGCUAUGCAGUACUAGUUCGCCGCCGCGCCGGUCUCAUGACUGCUGGCAGCAAACCUUUAUCGACCAUCGCAGAGCGUCCUAGCUUGUAGUCGCACCGUCAGGCGUAGGUCGUUGUUGUGUCGCGCAAUGCAUGGCCGCCACACCACAUCCAUUCCUCCAUGAGCCUGCAGCGUCUCUCCCACCAAAGCGCCGCUGCGGUCAUAGCGUCACCGCCUCGCAACCAUGCACGGCUGCAGCCCCAACUGGUGUCUUGUCGCCCAUCUCCGACCCAACACGGCAGCGGUAGCUGCCAGCACGAACCUUCCUCCACCUCUUCACCCCAGUCAACGGCCGCCACAGGCAUCAACCUUGCCUCUGCACACGCGCAAGUGCCGCUGGUGUGCCUCCUCACACUGCUUCUCAGCCUCCACCCGCGGCCCUGCUCCACGCCGCCGCCUCAGAUCUGCGCCGCUGCCCGCGGGCUGCUACCAUGUGUGCGGCCGCCACCGGCCACCACGCCCGUGCGCAACCGCAUUGCCCCACUACCCCGCACCAUGCCGCCGCUGCCGCUGCCGUACCACCAGCUCCACCACUGCACCCUCCGCAGCAGCCACACUGCCCACCGCUGCCACUAGGCCAGUCCCUAGGGCGCCGCCACCCGCGCACGGCCGCAUCCACCUCUACGAGGCCAUCCACCUCUACGAGGCCAUCCACCGAGUCGCCGCCACCCGCGCCAGGGCACGGCAGGGCCGCCACUGUGCGCCGCCGCCGUGGUCGCCGUGCAGCGCCUCCCGCCCAGAUCUGGUGCAUGUGGCCAUGAAACUUGGCAACAAGACCUCGCUGCCGCCCUCUUUGGGAGCCACGCGGGCUUCCGGCAGGUCCCUCCAGCAACGACGAGGUGGAGAGGAGGGGGACAAGGGGGUGGCGGCGGCUAGGGUUGGGGUUGCCACUCGAGUCACCCGAGUGGAGGGCGACGCGGGGGUCGGGGCAACGACCUGCCUGAGUAAGUUUAUGUUAAGUAAGGUUGUAGAGACUAGAGAGUGUAGAGAACUACUAGAGACGAUCAUGGUAAAUGCCUUUAUGUUCUGGACAGUCAUCAACGCAUGCAGCUACCGAUCGAAAUUGCACGGUUGGAAAACUCACCUUUAGUCCAAGUUGGAUAGGCUUAUAGAUCCUGAAAAUCUAACCGGGACUAUCUAUUCGGGACAAAAGGAGCUCUCUUUAUUCCCGGAUCAUUCACCCGGGACUAAAGACCCCCUUUAGUCCCGAUUAGUUUUACCAUGAUGAGAAAUAUAUCAUGACGUGAAUUUGGAUGAUAAGCAAUGUCCUUUUCCUUGAUCAUUGUGUGAAGAUGAAAAUAUGAAAUAGGUCUAUCAAAGAAAAUGGAGGGAGUAACUGCAAGUGGGUGUAAAUUCUAACCGGAAAGUGAAAAGGCACCUAGGUCACUUUACAACAUCACUGAUUUGUCUGAAAAUCCUAUAAUUACACUCUUCGCAAGACAAUGGAGUAUUCAGGAUUGCACAAGCCAGCCAACACAGAGCACCAAGGUAAUUUUACAACAUCACUGAUCUAUCUGAAAAAUCCUAUAAUUACACUCUUCAUAAGGCAGGGGAGUAUUCAAGAUUGCCCACAUACUGUUAUAAAUACGCACCAAGCUAAAAGCAGCCAGCCAGCACACAGAGCACCAGCUACCUAGCAAGCGAAAACAAAGGCACAGCUCAGCUAACUAGCCACAAGCAAGUGUGCAGGUAGCCGACCAUGGCGUCGUCUGGAAAUGGAAGCAUUGCCAACAGGUGGCGUGAGCUCCAUGGCAAGGACUCGUGGAAGGGCCUCCUGGACCCGCUCGAUAUCGACCUCCGCAAGUCCAUCAUCUCCUACGGCGAGCUCGCUGAGGCCACCUACGACGGCUUCAACACGGAGAGGCGCUCGCCGCACGCGGGCGCGUGCAUUUACGGCCAUGGCGACCUUCUGACCAGCUCCGGAGUUGCCGCCGCCGGCCACUACAAGGUCACCAAGUUCAUCUACGCCACGUCGGGGCUGCCCCUCCUGGACGCGUUCUUCCUCUCCUGCCGCUGCCGGCGCUAGAGGACGUGUGGUCCAGGGAGUCCAACUUCAUGGGGUACGUCGCGGUGGCCACUGACAAGGGCGCCGCCUCGCUGGGGCGGCGCGACAUCGUCGUGGCGUGGCGCGGGACGGUGCGGACGCCGGAGUGGGUGAACGACCUGGCCUUCACGCCGGUCACGGCGGCGCGCGUCCUGGGACCCGCGGCGCACGCCAACCCGCUGGCCGUCGUGCACGGUGGCUUCCUGUCCCUGUACACGUCCAGCGACGAGACAUCCAGGUUCAACCAGGCCAGCGCACGAGACCAGGUAAUCUCGAGGAGGUGAGGCGGCUAAUGGAGCUGCACAGGGAUUAGGAGACCAGCGUCACUGUCACCGGCCACAGCCUCGGUGCGGCGCUCUCCGUCCUGAACGCCGUCGACAUCGUCGCCAGCGGCGUGAACGCGCCCGCCGGCGCCGGCGGCUACUCCUCCAAGCCUCCGUGCCCGGUGACGGCCGUCGUGUUCGCCUUCCCGCGAGUCGGCGACCGCUUCUUCAGGGGCGCCUUCAACUCGUUUCAGGACCUCAGGGCCCUCCACGUGAAGAACUCCGGCGACAUCGUGCCCGCGUACCCGCCGCUGGGGUACGUGGACGUGGCGGUGGCGCUGCCCAUUAACACGAGCCGGUCGCCGUACCUGAGGUGGCCGGGGACGGUGCUGACGCUCCACAACCUCGAGUGCUACCUGCACGGCGUGGCCGGGGAGCAGGGCGGCGCCGGCGGGUUCAAGCUGGAGGUGGAGCGCGACGUGGAGCUGGUGAACAAGGGCGCCGACGCGCUCAAGGACGAGCACCCGGUGCCGAAUUGGUGGGUGCCGAAGAACAAGGGGAUGGUGAAGAGCGCCCAAGGGAAGUGGGAGCUCAAGGACUUCGAGCACGUCUGACCUGAGCAAAGCCAACUUUGCCUCUCAUGCAUGCGAUCGUCGUAUGCUAUGCAUGUUAAUUUCCUUUUAAUCGUUCCGGAUUCCAACUGCUCCAGUAUAAGCAGUAUAUGUUGCUUUUUCUUGGACUAUGUACGUCAUAAGGAGAGCAAUAUGCACAUGAUGGUGAGCACAGCAGCACAGGGUCACUGUAUAAGUAUCUAUAGGAUGGCAACGGGGCGGGUCGGGGCCGGGUGAAGCUUCCGCGGACCCACCCCCGAAACAGUAAACCUGUCCCGAACCCAAAACCUUAUUCGGGUGGAAAUCCUUCCCCGACCCCGAAACCCGCGGGUGCCCAAAACCCGUUCGGUCCCCCGACACCCGAGCUGUCGGCCCGCGGGGGUCGUGCCGCCGCCGCCGUGUUACGGGGGCCGCGCCACCCACCGGACUCCCUGUUGCUGGCGUUGCCCCCAGGCGCUGCCGCCUGUGGCUGUGGGUCCGUGCCACCGUCGUUGCCGCCAAGGGGCGCGGGCGGCACUUCGAGAGAGAGAUGCAUCCAUGGCUUUCGCCGUGGCCUCCAAGGGGGCUUCGCUGGCCGGCCUCCUCAAGAAGCUCCUCCUCGCUGCGCCGUCCUCCUCCGGGGCCGCGCCCGCCGCCGCCCUCGCGCUCCGCCCGGCGUCCGUCGCUGCCGCCCGCCGCCUCUUCAACACUGGGGGUGCACCGUUCCACCGUGGCGACGGCGACUACGAGGAGAAGUCCAGUGGCGACGAGGACGUCUUCUACGACCGUCGCCGCCGCGUGCACGACUUCUUCACCCCCAUGUUCUUCUCCGCAGGUACGCCACGAGCUAGCGAGGGUGCGGCGUGCGGGGUAGGGGGCGGCGGGGGGCACGGGCGAGGACGAGGGCAGCGUGGGCGUGGGCGAGGGUGAGGCGAGGGGCGUGGGGCGCGGGCGACCCGGUGGCGCGGCGGUCGGCGGUCGCUGCUGCCGCUGGGUGGGUCUGUGCCUCUGUGGGGAUGGGAUGGAUGGUGGCCGGUAGGGUGGGGUCUGUGGGGAUGGGGUGGAUUCGUCUGCAUGGUGGGCGGGUGGAGGCCUGCUGGGCUAAGGCAUGGGAGAGCGGCCGGUGCGGGGGAGGUGUGCUUUGUGGGCUAAAUUUAGGGCUCCGUGGGCUCCGCGGGGGAAAUUUUUAACCCGGACCCACACCCGCAAUGUGUCGGGUCCCAAACCCGAGACCCGCGGGGGGAAUUCCAGACCCACCCCACCCUCAUCGGGUCUGAAACCUGCAGAUCUCGGGUCCAGACCCACUGAUUGCCAUCCCUAAAUAUGUAACAGCCCAAACUCCAGAUUUCAAAUAAAGGUAUGUUAAAUAUCUGGUUUGUGACCUACUGACAUUUUCAGCCUUGCAAGAAAAGAAGGGUUUAUUUGGUAGAGCUUCACUUACUCCUGAUUCUUGAUGGGAGCAGAUUCUUGGAGAGGUGAUUCUAUGUCUGAAAAUGAUUCUCUAUGAUUCUUUAUAAUUAAAUUUAUGGAGAAAGAUUUUCUACGUGAAAAGUGAAUAGGGAGAAACUACUUUUUUCAGCUCCCAGCCCUUAGUUCAUUUUAGAGAAUCACUUCGCAGAAUCAGUAGAGAAUCACUUGGAUUCAGCCUAAAAGCUGUUCUAGGAGCUUUGCCAAACAUACCCUAAGACUUAUAUUAAUAGGGUUGCUGAGACACUUAAUUACUUGUGACAAUAUUUUUUUCUUUUAAGAAAAACUUAGUAUAGAGAGGGGUGGAGCUAGGAUUUGAUGGGGGGGAGGGUUCAAGAUGCCAAGUGAGAAAUAAUCACAUAAGAAAAAAAAGAUUAAUACGGUAUGACUAACAACAACGAUGUUCUAACUAAGGAUAGGUCCAACGAACCAUACAUCCACUUGUACACACAUAAGCAGUGGCAGACCUAGCAACUUCGAAGAGCUUGGGCAUCUCUACUCUACAGCUCUACAAACUGUGGUACCACCAGCUAGACACUAAAUAAGCUAAUGGAACAUGGUGAGCCCAGGUGAGCGCCUAGGGUCACCGGGCCAUGGGUCCGCCCCUGCACAAGGGAUCCUGCUGUGCUCGUUAUUGCUAUUUUUUUACGCUAUUUAAGUGGUGUUUUUAUUAAUUCUUAUACUAACCGCCACUUAGCCUGUGAGGUAACCCCAUAUUUGUAUAUGUGUUGUAUUUUGGACUAUAUUAUAAAAUAGUAGGAAAUACGACAUAAAUAGAUGACUUUUGUACAAGCUCGAUUUGGACCUAGACUUUGGAUAACACAAGGAGCCUACACGAGAAAGACGAGCACCAGCGGAGCCUAAAAGGGGGUGGACCGAUCGACCCAAGGCCCACAUGCCGAUUGGCCUGGCCCAAUUCAGCCUACAAAUGCAUCCACAUUCGAUGAACCAUUAUUUCAGAUGACUUAGAGGUGAAGUAUGUGGUGAUUUGGUAAGUUAAUCUCAUGGAGUCUCAAGAUUGGAAAGUCAAAAGGCUCGCGAAAGUAAGAGAUCUUGCACAUACCAUAUCUCCCUCAUCCUGACUCCAAUUGGGCUGAAUUUGGUACCUAAACUACAUAGUUCGAAAAGAUCUACAACUUUCGUAUAGAAGAUUCAAGCAUUUGAAGUUGGCAAGGUUGAGAAAAUGCCAGGCCGAUCGGCCUGAUCCGCUUAGGCCAAUCAGCCUGGUACUUUCCUAACCCCGAUUGACAUGCCCUUUGCCCCACGGUAUAUCCAGCUAUAAAUAUCUCCAUUCUCCAUUGGCAUGCGUAUCCAUCCACCAGAACUCGACGGAACCUAGGGUAUUCACCAGAGGGAGCUGAGGGCCACUGCAAUUCUUCGCAAUUGUCUAGGAGAUGGCAUAGGCCAAACCCCAGUCGCCAUGACCUCCCUGCGUGGUUGUGCCAUGACGGAGUUCAGGAGCACCAGUAGAUCAUCAAUGGUAUGUACUCGGAGAUGAUGAUAUAAUACAUAUUGUGUGAGCAAUGUUCUUCGUGUCAUCCGAUUUGUUAGCGACUCAAUGCCUCGUUUUAUGCUUUCUAUCUAUCAUGAAUUUGUUCCGUAGUCUAAUGCAAGGUUAGACUACGUAGCAUGCUUUAUGUAAUCAUGGUGAUUAGAUCUAAUAUGUUGAUCCUUCAUGAUAGAUAGACACGUUCACUUGUGUUCAUGCCUGCGCCGAUAGGGGGGAUCGUGACAGGGUCUGCUUUCGUGUAAAGUGGGAGUUUUUGGAAAGUUGACUGGAUGUAGUAGUUUAAAGAUUGCUUUGGAUGAGAUGUAUGAUGUGUUUGCUUAUUGGCUAGAACUACAACUAGAAGGCGAUAGGCUCUUGUUACCCUUGAUGGUGUUAUCUCAUAUAUAUAUGGAUGUGAUCUACCAUUAUUCAAGUCAUUAAUCUUUACAGCAUGUUGGCCUUUGUAUGCAAUCAACGCUUCAUGUUAGGAUUGAUAUUAGAUGGAAAACCCUAAUCAGUUCGUCACCGAUCCACGAAUUGAUAAACAUUGUACGCAAUACUUUAAGGAAAAAACUAUAAUGAUACGUGCGCUUGCAGUUCACAAACUGGUGCGCUAAUUGCCGCCAACAGAUCCACCUACAUGUUGCCAUAUGAAUAUAUUAAUGGAGCAUUGGUAAAUAAAAAAAAGAAAGCUACAUGUCAAUUAUAUAUUUAUUUUACAAACUAUCUAACAAAUAGACUUAAAUCAAAAUUUUCCAUUUUUCUUCAUGGUGUCCAAACAACUAGCAGCAACAAGGUAAGGAGAAAUGAGUCAUUCGAUGGGCUACAACAAUUGGGCCUAAGCUUCUGUAAUCAAAACCCUGUACCUAACUCAGGUUGUGUGAAUGGAUAGACUCGUGUAAACUAGAAACACCCGUGAGCAGUAGAGAGGGGCAGGUGUUACAAACUACUAGUACACUGAGAGAUCCCUUGGGACGCCCUCCCUUUUGACUCUGCCGCAGAUAUCCCAGCCCCCAAAAUAAAAUGACUCACUAUACUUACUUCAAAUGAAUAUAUGGUAAGAAGUUUAGCAAGCAGAAAAACAAGACAUGCAAAUGUAAGGAUUGCACAUGCACAAUCGUUGAGCCUUAUAACACACUGAUAAUUUGAAGUGCGAAAGAAAGUUUCACCACAUUACUCUUCUCACUAGUCCACACUGAUGGGUGUGAAAAUGAUCGAAGAAAAAAGAAGAAGGCAGAGGACUGAAGGAGAGACUACCAUGCGAGAUUAUUAGUUAAAUGCAAGAUCCCCGCAACAUGAGACGCACAAAAGGAGAUCCGGCUUGUCCGUUGGGUUGUGACUAGAACCCACACUUUAUCCUGUGGUGCUUGAUGCUUCGCGAUCCGCAUGGGUCAACUGGUCUUCAGUUCCGUCCCACCUCCUCCACUGUUGUGCAUAUAAUAUAUUUUGGGAUUGUAUCAACAUAGAAAAUAUGCAAAAAAAUUGGGCCCAUAAUUAAACAACUCAAAAUGCCUACUGUACAUCAUAGGUAAUGUAUAUUCAACUUGAUGUGAAGAAAACAUAAACUUUUGAAACAUUAUACACAUAUGUUAAACUAGUUCAAUUGUUUAAUUUAAUAUUAAUUAUCAUAGUUACCGUAUAUUAACCACAUAUGUUUUAUCUUCGGCCGGUUUAGGCCAAGUUUCUUGGUACUAGAGUAGAACAGUGGCGUAUAAUGUCUCUAUUAUAUUAUAUUAAUUUAAUUAUCAUAUUUUUAUUAUUUUUCAUCAUACUUUUGUAUAUAUUUAGAGACAAAAACACAUAUAUUUAAAUAUUACAUUCAUAUUUAGCAAUUGAGUUCAUAUGCAUCUUUCUAAAUUUUGUGGAGUUCAUAUGCAUCUUUGUAAAUUUUGUGACUAUGCCCUUCUACAUAUUAACAACAUUUUAGACUUUUUCAAAUUAAAGGUACUUCUUACUUAUAGAAAUAAUCAAUUUGGUGAAGACUUAGUGGAAGUAAGCAUAUUUUGGGGCUACAUGUUUCUCGUUUGCAUGGUAAUAGAUAUCUUUUUUCUGGUUUGCAUGCAAUCUUGGUGUUACAAUUUAUCUAUAAAUAUAAUAAUUCCUGAUAUUUUCUUUCCACAUCAUGUGUAUCUCGAGAACUUUCUAUGUCAGCUCGUACCAGUGGCGGAUCCCAUGAAUUGGUCAAGCCUAGGGCCAAAUUUAGUGGCAAAUAGAAACUACCCCAUACAUAUCACAUAUAGAAAAAUAGCAAAAGUAUAAGCAAUGGUUCAAAAAUGAGAAGAUUCUUGAGAUUACAUGUUAAGAGUGAGAUACAAUAUCUAAGAAUAGCAUAGAACAAAAAGAAUGUCUAGUGAAGAUUUGGUGCAUUCACAUCUUCCAUUUCAUUUUGCAGUGCCAAUUGUAAGUCUAGGUCUGAAAGGUCAGUACAAAAUAAGUCAAAAAUAAUACUCCAAUUAAUUGAAUAAUUAGGAAGGGUGAGAUAUUAGGGAGUAGUUGAACACCUUAGAAUAGGGCAGCCGGUGGUGCCUGCUGCCUUCCGGCCACGGCGUGCUCCGUAAAGGAAGAACCGAGGAGGAACGAAUCAACGAGCCAAGAUGAGCUACCGAGGGACGAGAUCGCAAGCAACUACAAAGGUUCCAGCACCCAGCAGACACGACAUACUAUACCAAGCGGCGGCGGCACCAGGUAGGGCAUCGCAGGCGGUCGUGAGAUGCGCCGCCGUGAGUUCUCGACACACAGUUUUUAGGCUAAAACUGAGGAUGCGGCUGGACUCUAGAACGGUGGAAUUGGAACCUGUUACGCUUUUUGCCCUAGUUGCUGGAUUGGGGCAGAUGUUUUUAGGCUAAAACUGAAUGGCGGCACUUAAGGUUACUGGCCACGACUAGGGCCAUGGCAAACUGAGAUACGUAUACACACGCACAUCUAUGAACAAGCGGUACAACAAUAUUGAUCAAGUCAUCACGAGCAGCUGGUCGAUCACAUUUUUGCAAGCAUCAGCUUGUCUCGUUGCAUCAGGGGCGUUGCGACGCUUCCUUGUCGACGUUCUAGAACAGAACAGUGAGCAACUGAGCAUGCCAUUCGUCGCGCUGAGCUCCAGCUGGCCGUGGCACCGGCGAGCAGGACAUGGACGAAGGGGCUGGCCGGAUACACUGGCAACGGCAAGGCAGUAAUCUCCUCCGACAGCUAGCAGAGCUCCAUGGGCAGCAGCUUGGGCAAAGGAGCACGACGGAUUGCAUGAGUGAGGCUCUCCAAACUCUGCAGCUACAGGACGGAACGGCUGACACGACCUCCUCCGUCGGCCGUGAAUGGGCACGCUCAGAACAUCCCACACGCACGGCGCCGCCGUUGGGCUCGACGCCCACUGCCCUCUUGCGGAGCAGGGAGCACUGACACGGCGCCGCGGUCCAUGGCAUCACGCCAUUACGGUGUCGUAGCCUUUUGUUUUCUCCGAUCGAGAACGGCCGAACAGGCCCCGGCCCCUACGACACACCGCGCGCGGCUAGAUCGCCGCAUGCGUCGCGAUCCCUCCGGCCGGUCAGGAAUGGGCACGGCCGGCCGCCAUAACGAUGCCGCCGCUCGCCGGGCGUCACGUGGGACCUGCAGGAGUCCUCCAGCAGGGCGAACGAGGCGGUUCCACGCGCGGAGCGGCCGGAACGCGGCGGCGCUCCGGUGGGACGGCGACCCCGGGGGUGGACGGUAAAUGAAAUACCGUCCACCCCUGGGUGAUUCUCAGCCGUCAGAUCAUACUUGUACGGACGAUAUGAGAGUCCAGAAUAGUUACAUCCCAAGGGAGCACGGAGCACCUCUUCGCACCGUGUGGGCGUUCCGCGCCGACUCCCGAGCAAGCGGAAGCUUCUAGAACCUUCAAGGCGAGAUGGUGGUGCAGCACGUGAAGUCGGCGGCGUCCGCCGCCUCCUCCUCGUCGCCAGACGCGUACGAGGGGACGGAGUCCCUGUACGAGUGCGCCGCCUCCGUGGCCGUCGCCGACGACGCCGCUGCUGCUGCCGUCGGCGCGCUCGCCGGCCUCCAGGGCCCAGGCCCGCCUUCUCUCCCUCUGCCGCCACCUCCGAGGUGAGGGACUCACGAAGGACACAUCCUCCUAAGCACGCGGAUCGAAUGGUACUGAGGCGGGGUGGCUGCUUCUGCGAUCUGCAGCGAGGUGUGCGGAUGCUGGAGCGGCUGCGGGGGGCGAGCACGAGAGGGCGCUAGACGAGGCCGAGUCCCUUGCAGUUUUCCCCAAGUUUAGUUCGAUACGGGUCACUUGAAUUACAUGCAAAUUGCGCUUCGUUUUUCAACAUGUUUAUGAAAACUGGAUGAAAUUACUCCAACUUGUGGAUUUGGGAGCUCCAGGUAUGGUGCAUGAGAAGCAAGCAAGGUUAACUAGAUUUCCUUGAAAUCCUCGAGUUUCCAGUGGCCGUCAGCGCCCCUGACCAUCCACUUGUUCUUCGGCACCCACCAAUUCGCCGGCACCGGGUACUCGUCCUCGAGCGCGUCGACGCCCUUGUUCACCAGCGCCACGUCGCGGUCCACCUCCAGUUUGAACCCUCCGGCGCGGCCCUGCUCGCCGGCGACGCCGUGCAGGUAGCACUCGAGGUUGUGGAGCGUCUGCACCGUGCCCGGCUUCUUCAGGUACGGCGACCGGCCCGUGUCGAUGGCCAGCAGCACGCCCACGUCCACGUACACGACCGGCGGGACAAUCGGCACGACGUCGCCGGCGUUCUUCACGUGGAGCGCCCUCAGGUGCUCGAACGAGUCGAAGGCCGCCUUGAAGGAACGGUCGCCGACGUGCGGGCACGCGAACACGACGGCCGUCACCGGGCACGGCGGCUGGGAGGAGGCGGCGUUCAGGCCGUUGGCGGCGAUGUCGACGGCGUUGAGGACGGCGAGCGCCGCGCCGAGGCUGUGGCCGGUGAUGGUGAUGCUGGUCUCCUCGUCCUUGUACAACUCCAUCAGCCUCCUCACCUCCUCAAACACCUGCGCGCACACGUAGGUGUGUGUGAAACUUAUUUUUCCGUUCCCGGUUGAAGACGGCUCAAGGACUGUUGGACCUCAACUAGUCAACUGUGAGGUGAGGAUCGUCGACUGAAAAAGAAAAUACAGGUUUCUGAGGUAUAUCAUUUCUUUUUUUUUGAGUAAUGAGGUAUAUGAUUUGGUUGAGCCAUCAGUGUGUACGUUCAGGCCUGCUUAAGAAUUCGUGGUCGUAUAGAGUGUGGAUUAUGCAUAGCUUGGUGGCGAUGGAUCGUAUGUGACUGUAUAAAGUCAGCAGUACAAGAACUGACCAUGAACACACAAAACUCACGUACAGGCGUACGACAUUGUCUGCACGUUCCUAAUUUCAGAAGCGAUGCAUACAAUAUUGUACGCGUGUACAUGCGUGGUGUUCAUCAGUUCAUGAGUACAUGCUGAUCUGAUUUGCAUACGAUCAAUAAUGGUCCGACGGGUAUUCUCACCUUGAUCGGACAAAUCUUCUGGUAAUACACUAGUAUGCUAGAGAGAUGGAGAAUAGUAACUUGCCUGAUCUCUGGCGCUGGCCUUGUUAUACUUGGAGUUGGCGUUGCUGGACGUGUACACGGAGAGGAACCCCUGAUGCACCAUCGCCAACGGGUUCGCAGCGGCGGAGGAGCCCAGCACCGGCGCGGCGGACACUGGCGUGAAGGAGAAGUCGUUGGCCCACUCCAGGUCCGUCACGGUCCCGCGCCACGCCACGACGAUGUCGCGCCGCCCUAGCUCGGCCACGCCCUCGUCGGUGGCCACGGCGACGUACCCGAUCCAGUUGGACUCCCUGCACCACGCGGCGUCCCCGAGCUCCGGCAGCGGCAGGAGAAGCACCGACUCCGGCACGGGCACCGCCGACGUGGCGUAGAAGAACUUGGUGACGGCGUAGCUGCCCGCGGCGGCGACGCCCACGCCGGCGAGCAGAUCGGAGCGCCCGUACAGGCACGCGCCGGCGUGGGGGGAGCGCCGCUCGUGGUUGAAGCCGUCCUGCGCGGCCUGCGCGAGCUCACCGUAGGCGAUGACGGACUUGCGGAGGUCGAUGUCGAGCGGGUCCAGGAGGCCGUUCCACGAGUUGUUGCCAUGGAGCUCGCGCCACCGGACGGCCGUCGUCGGCGACGACGAGGGCGCGGCUGCAGUCAGCGAUGGAACCAGCAGACACAUAAAGAGGGAGGCAACUAGCAUUACCAUCUUUGCACCUCGAUCACGUACGCUGCUUGAUCUAGCUAGACAGUUUUGUCUGGUUCAUGUGAUUUCUUUGGUUCAGGUGGUGUGUGUGAUCCAUGCUGUUGUAUUUGUAAUUCUAGUCAAUCUAGGUACAGCCUAGUGUGAUCUGUAUGCUACCUUUUCAAUUUGUUGGUCUAAGUGGCUUUCAGGAAUUAGUGUAGCUCCUGACACCUGGCUAUGGCUACAGGGCUACAGCUGGCUAACAGCACUGGAACAGGACAUGAGAACCUUUCAAAAUAAGGAAUUAUUAACAGAGAUACUCCCUCCGUUCUUAAAUAUACAACGUCAUUGACUUUUUACUUCAACUUUAACCACCAAUAUCUAUUGAAUAAGUUAGUUAACUAAAGUAAAAUAUGCAUCAUUAUGUCUAUUAUCAAAUGUACUUUAGAUUUAAUUUGUAGGUUUAUCUAUUUGCAAAAAAUAUUUGUAGAAAAGACGAAUAGUGAAACAAAUCAAAAAGUUAACGGCAUCAUAUAUUUAAGAACGGAGGGAGUAUAUCCCAAGCGUGUAUGAUGAGCCUCAAGAAAAAUAAGAAUUAUCCGGCAGAGAUAUAAUAGUAAACUGAACCGUGAGUCCUGCACGAUGAUUUUUUUUGACGAAAUCAUUGUGGCUCACUUAGCUGUAAGGUAUACGGUGUUGUUAAUUGCAAAGUCUUCUCCAUGAGAGGAGCAUGGAUAAUUGGAUAUAGAGACACCGGCCGAGGAGCUGAGGGCACGUUCUUUCUUUCGAGGUCAUAGUUCCAACCGCAGCUGCUAGCAUGGACGACUGGCGUUGCACUACUGCUCCUUAACAACAAUUUUAAUUAAGAUAUACUUCCUCCGUUCCAAAUUAUUAUUUGUUUUGAUUUUUCUAGAUACCUAACUUUUACUACGUAUCUAGAUCAUAUCAAAAGUUUUGAAUUAAAAAAGUAAAAACGAAUAGUAAUUUGGGAUGGAGGGAAUAGUUAACCGCAUGAACAUUACCAGCUUAGCUACUAUACACUCAAUAAAUUUUAUUCAUACCCGUGCAUUUACAAUGCAGUUGCUUUUAUAGUAUUUUUUUUCUUUUGAAAUGGAUGCUUCAUUAGCAUGGUUCUAAACACCGGACUGAGGGGUUUGGAUUCUUAAAAACAGCUAAUAGCAGGUUAAAUGAGGCUAUAGUGGGGAUAUAUACCUAUAGGGGGCUAUGGCAGCAGCUAUAGCGGGAGAUAAAACCUUGUUCAUUAUUAGAUGAUGCGAUUGCAUUUACCAGUGAGAUGGAAUUUGGUUUGAGGGUUUAAGGUUCAGUAUAGUCCAUCAGGGAGUUGGUUAAGUCACAUAAGACCACUGACAGACUGCCUGAAAGCAAAUAAGGAUCUGGGCCUGGGAUGGGCUAUGGAAAUGUCCCAGAUCUUAAAAAAAAAAUGCUCGCAUGCCUGCAGUCCAUCAUCAUCUUCAUUGCUGGGCUCAUCGUCGGCGUACGUAGACCAUUUUAGGCUGUUUUCAACAUUCUUCUUUCAUUGUCUUUUAGUCUCCGAGUUCUCUAGUUGUGUUUUGGUAGAUGAACAACGUAAGAAAUUUUUUAUUUCUAUAUAAGAUGAAAUUUCGCUCGAAUUCUGCAAACCACGAGAUGGUAAUAAUGCACGUCUACAAGAAAAAUUUAAAGAUUGAAGCAAGAUGUGUGAUGCCAAAGAGCAGAGAACGCCGGCACCUGCUGUGCUCCUCCAUCUGAGCCUAUUGAGAGCGCCGCUGGUGGUGCGUGGAGUCCGACUCGAAUAGGUGUGAACCCCUACCCUAAUAACAUAACCACGGACCGAUCUCUUGUGAGAAGAGGAGAGGAGAAGUUAAAACCGGCCGCCGGAAUCCAUAGCUACCUUGGAGAUGGAUGGUGACCAAGACCAAGACGAGAGGGGGUUCAGCACGGCGGUUCCGGCGUCCUGCGGCGAGGAGGGACCUGCCAAGACGGAGGAGGGGAAGGUAGCGGCGGCCGAGAAGAAGACGACGACGACGACGAAGAAGGUGAUCAAGACGAUACCUCCAGAUCACGUCGAGUUCGUCCUGGCCAUGAAGCCCAGGCCGGUGUCCAGGUUGCCGCCGGGGUUGAAGAUCUCCGAGGAGUGCCGCCGCCAGUCUGCCAGGGUGAACUUAACGAACUCAUCAGGUCCAGCAACGAGCUCGUGCGCAGCACCCAGGACAGGUACCGCCAUGACCUCGCCACCAAGGGAUGCAUCCAGGUCGAGGUUGAGGUCACCGACGACGAAGCGUGAACAUUGUGGAUUGGAUGAGAACUGAUCGACCUGAAUGCUCAAUUAUUUUUCGUAUUUGGGGUUUGUAUAGUUUGCACGUUUGGCUUAAUUAGAUCGAAUACAAGUGUUUGACGUGUCCUUACCAACCCAGGCGAGCAAGAUUCGCUCUCACACAUCAGCGAGGUGAUAACCUUGCCAGCGUGCUCCAAGUCUCCAAGUCAAGCUUAAAUUCCUGUCCUCCUCCAUGCCCUUGCUUGGCAAUGCUAAGGCCUCAUUUGCAACGUAAGAUUCUCAAAACAUGUAGAUAAGAAAAAAAAUGCAUGAAUCAAGUUAGUCGUCGUCAAUUGCAAUCCCGCGGGAAUUCAAGAUGCAGGAAACUUUCUAAUACAGCACAUGCAUUUGAGGAGGGGAAGUGCUAGCGCCCGGACGUCCGAUACUCCGUCGCAACAUUGAAAAAUAACUAUCGAAACAUCAAAAAUCAACACUUGCAACACCGAGGAUUGCAACAACUUUACGUGCAUGAAACAUCCCGAAUUACUUCGUGCAACCUUCAAAACAGACACAUUGCAACAACAAAAAAAACAUCUCUUACAACAUUGCAACAACGAAAGAAGAAGAUUCGAAACAAAGAAAACAACUAUAUGCAACAUCAUGAACAAGUUGGUGCAACACCCGAUUGCUGGCAAGUCAGACUGUUGCAAAACAGAUGAAACAUCAAAAGCCACCGUUGCAACAUCCAAAAAUAACUAUUGCAACACCAUGAGGUACCUAUUGCAACACUCAGAUCCACGACAACCAGCUUGUCGUCAAAGGUCGUCCACCAUGACCGCCGCCCGAUCCUUCCCCGCUCGGAUCUCGCCGGGGUCGGGGAGAGGGCCACCGGAUCCGGUGCAAAACAGAUGAAACAUCAAAAGCCACCGUUGCAAUAUCCAAAAAUAACUAUUGCAACACCAUGAGGUACCUAUUGCAACACUCAGAUCCACGACAACCAGCCUGCCGCCGAAGGUCGUCCACCAUGGCCGCCGCCUGAUCCUUCCCCGCUCGGAUCUCGCCGGGGUCGGAGAAAGGGCCACCGGAUCCGGGGCGUUGGGUGCUCCCGGUUUGUUGAGGACGUCGGAGUGGGGGGAGGGGCGCCGCCAAGGUGGGGGACGAGGUUCCCGGAGUGGAGGAGCACGCCGCCGCCGGGGUGGACGAGGAGGACGCUGUGGUGGGGGAGCGCGCCGCCGUUGGGGUGGGGACGAGGCCACCGGGGUGCGGGACGAGCCUGUCGGAGUUGGGGAGCGUGCCGCCGCCGGGAUGGAUGAGGAAUACGUCAGGAUGGAAGGUUGAAGAAGAAAGGGGAUGGGGAAGAAAAAAGCAGUAGAAACAGAUAAGAACAUAGCGGUGGGAGCGUCCGUCCGUCCGGACGGUAGUGUUUCCAUUUGAGGAGAGAUAGACACAAACAAAAACUUCGAAGAGGUUGGACCUCAUGUCAGAUUUUCUUCAAAAUUUUAUGGAUUGAGGUAUUCUACAGGAAUUUCAUAACCCAAUCCUUUGUUCCAAAUAGAUACAUAGGAAAAUUCGAACCAAAUCUUAUGAAUUUCCUCCAUCAAUCCUUUGUUCCGAAGGAUCCUGAAUAGUACUCCCUCGGUCCAAAAAUUAUAGGCGUAUUUGAACCAGGGAAAAGUUUUUCAAAGUAGAUUUUGACUUUUCAUUUUUCUUAUAUCUUUUAAUAUAAUUGCUAAAGACUCAAUAGCAUCUCAAAAUGGCUUUGAGUAUAAAUAUAUUGAUUCAAAUUUUAUACAUUAAAUAUGAUUAUAAUUAUCUAAUUAUUAGUCAAAGUUUGUAAAGAUCGAGGAUCAAAAUACUCAUAUCAUUUCACUUGAAAGCUUGCACAGACAAUCCAAGAAACAGAAAAAAAAAAGAUCAAUGUUGUUUUGCUUCUCGAAGAGGAGGCAUGGCAUGCAUGUAAAAAUCAUGGUGCGCUGCUUGUUUUUCUACGCUACGGACGGAGGCGACAGGGAGUGGAAGAGUGCCCGAUUAGUCACGCAGCAAUAUACACAUUGCUAGCCCGAAAUUAUUGAUGCCUCCUCGUCCACAUCUCCAGACGAUGGAUGGAUCCCGUCGCUUUCGCAUGCAGCUAGUCUCUCAUCUGUCCGAUCCACGUCGGCACGUCGUCCGUCCAGAAAGAAAGCGUUGACCGGUGACUCCGCAUCCACUGCCUGAGCGAUCGAGCCCCUGAGUGCCCUGUGGACCUAACCUAAUAAGCUAGCCAACUUGUAUUGGUCAGAGCUGGGAUUUGUGAUGCCCCGCUCGUCUAUGGCCUUCAGUGUCAAGUGUCAACCUCGAAUCAGGCUGCUGCCUAGUGUAGUCCUGGUCCGGUCAACAAAAGCUGCACCGACUCACAAAUUGACAAAGCCCAUUUGGGUCACCAUCCUUAUUUGUUGCUCACCAUGGAGUACUUGUUACUUUGCUAGAAUUAAUGUUAGAUGUAGAGAGAUCUACGGUUUACGUAUGGGCACAAUUCAACAUGGUGAUGCACAAGGUUGGACAUGCAUGCAUGUGUUGUUAAUUCUAGUCUGGUGAUUGCUUAAGAUAAGCAAGCUAAGCCUAGCUUUUUGACACGUAUGAAUUUGUGUUCAUGUUAGCUCUUGUAGCUAGAUCGUACGACCAGUAGCGCACACCACCACCUGCCGGCUGCCGCCGUAUGUUCAGUAGAAAGAUCAAAAGAUUGUACACUAAGGCAUUAAGCUUGCCGGUGACUAAUUCUGGGUUAUGCAUGGAGCUUUGAGCGUGCCAAGUGCCAUGGCACAUAGGAAGCAGAACAGGUCAUCGACCUCCAUUCAAGUGGUCAAAUUAAUUUUAUGGAGAUCUUUUUUUUUUGACGAACGGCACGAGAAUGUGCAUAUUUCAUCGAUAAUUUUAUUGAGAUAACAAAUGACCUGCCAUAUGCUGUUGGUUGUGAAGAGUUCAAAAGCAAAAUCUCGGUUGGGAUCUGUCAAAGAAUCGAACAACACGUAUGCAGAUAGACGACGAUGCUGCAGGACAUAUUGGAAUAGGAGUCGUCGCUGCAUAUGCAUGGGCGCCGCCAAUGCUCUGCGUUGGCGUCUCUUCCGUGGCCAGAAAGCUUCCAUCUACCCAUGCUGCAGGGCAAGCGACUCGUCUUCCUGCUCUAGAAGCUAGUAUAGUUGACAUUAUCAAGUGCUCCGAUCUGCACUGCAUCAUGUCAUGUGCCGCGGUCUGCACAAAGCCAAGCUCCGUCGUCUUCACUGCACUACUGGACCCAUCGCCCAUUCGCCCAUCCAAGACCAUUCUGCGCGCCAGCAAUAUAUCCGGUCAACCAUGGCUGGCUGCGUAUGUCUUGGCGCCAAUCGCUCGUCUGCAUAAUUUAUCAACGCACGGCCCCUAUAUAUGAUACUGCAUGCAAGCAAAACAAGCCGGCUGACAGCAGGAAGAAGACGACAUCCACAAACAAGCCAAUCAAUGGCGUCCUCCCCGGUGCUUGUGUUGCUGGUGCUCAUCGCCGCCACCGCGGCUGCUCCGCAACUGAGCUCGGCCGUGGAUCCGGUGGGCACGUACUGCGCCAAGAACUUCACGGGCGCGCAGACGCAGGCGAGCAUCAGCCAGGUGCUCGCGGCGCUCGUCCCGCGCGCCUCCGCCGCCUAUUACGCCACGGCCACCGCCGGCAGCGGCAGCUCCGCCAUCUGGGGCCUCGCGCAGUGCCGCGGCGACAUCCCGGCCUCCGACUGCGCGCUCUGCAUCUCCGCGGCGGCGAAGCAGGCGGCCUCCUCGUGCCGGGGCCAGGCGGACGUGCGGCUCUGGUACGACUACUGCUUCCUCCGCUACACCGACGCCGACUUCCUCGGCCUGCCGGACACCGGGUACACGCUCAUCCUCAUCAACACCAUGAACGCCAGCGACCCCGCCGCGUUCGACCGCGCCGAGAGGAAGCUCAUGGCGCGGGUGGCGGCGGAGGCAGGGGACGCCGCGAGCGGCGGGCUGGUCAGGGAGACGGCCAGGUUCGGGUCGGCGACGACCAUCUACGGCCUCGGGUGGUGCACCAGGGACAUCACCGCCGCCGACUGCGGGCUGUGCGUGGCGCAGGCCGUGGCGGAGCUGCCCAACUACUGCCAGUUCCGCCGCGGGUGCCGCGUGCUCUACAGCAGUUGCAUGGCGCGCUACGAGACCUACCCCUUCUUCUUCCCGGUCAGCGGCGCCGCGGCUGCUUCAUCUCAUGCCGGCGAGUACGAGAAAGUCAUCUUGAACCACCACAGCUAGUUUUAUAUAAGUGUACGGCCGUUUUGUCAAUCGCAAUAAUCACCAUCAAAGUGUUGUACAAUACCCAUAUUUGGAUUCAAUAAUGCGGAUGCUUGCAAUGCAUUCACCAACUAUAUAGCAUAUUCUUAUGUGUGGCCUCUACAUGUGUGAAGUGGCUACUACUGUUGACAAUGAGCGAUUGAGCAUGGCGCACAGACGCAGCAGGCUAUCUCAGUUGUUGCUGGUCCGUUUGGGAAUGCAUACUUCUUCGUAAUACUUUUCUUCUCUCUCUUCCUUCGUCUCUAGCUCCGGUGAGACUUUUACCUGCCUCUUGCGGGCUUAGAGGAAGGACCUGUGUAGCAGCAGGUUCAACGGUGGUGGUGGUGGUGGUGGUGGCGGCGGAAGGACCAGCUCAUAGCGGUUGGUGCUGGUGCUGGACAACUAGUCGAUGGAAGUGGCCCGCGAGCAAGCACCGACGACGGUUAGUGGGAGAGUGGCCACGCCACGUACGGUGGCGUUGGGGAAGAAAGAAGGAGGGGUGAGGUCGCUUCAGAGAUGGCGGAGGGCUUGCCGGUGCCAGCCUGGAGGGCAGCGGCGAUCGGGUGGAUAAGGCGGCAUGUGGGAAGAAGCUAGGGAAGAGAGAACGUUGAUCUCAACCAUUCCUUUUUCAAUCUAAAGGCCUAGAUUUUAGGUGUCGGGAAGAGAGAGAGAGAGAGAGAGAGAGAGAGAGAGAGAGAGAGAGAGAGAGAGAGAGAGAGAGAGAGAGAGAGAGAGAGAGAGAGAGAGAGAGAAUAUCAAUGCAUAGCCCUGUCCAUUUUGUUGCACAACGACGUGCUAGCUGCUGAACUCCAAGAGCUACCUAGCACAGGCACAGCAACUUGUUCUCCAUCACGCAUCGGCACCUAGAUAUCCAUCUAUCCAUCCAGUGCAUAUCUUUUCCGACGAACAACAGGCGUCGCUUUAGAACGCUGACGCGGUCAAACCCUUUCAGAACACUUUGACCACUAAUGUGUACACAUAUUGUAUCAUUGUCAUGGUAUACUUUUUUAAAAAAAAAUUAUCAGAACUUUAGUAUGCAACCGUUAGUCCAUUACUCUUAUCAUCCACCACUUGCUAUUGCGGAUUUCAUGUUUAUGUUUCCAAAAUACUAAAUAAGCAAGAGAACAUUUAAUUUAUGGUUAAAAUAGUUUCAUACAAUGCAUUGUUUCAUUCAUUGUUGUUUCCUAAGCUAAAUGUAAGACACAAAGUGUGUUGGAAAAAGUGUAUACAUGAUUUCAUCAUCAUGAAACUCAUUUCAUCUCUUUCUUCAUUAACUCUUUGCCACCAUCAAAAACCCUGACAUGGCAAAACUCCCAUUGAGAAUGGUUUUAUUAGGCCAUUCUUAGUGGGAGUUUAAUGGUUAUGAUUAUCUAGAGUGACACAUCAUCUAAAAAAAUUUGAAACUAUGAUGAAACACCUCCCCUCAAUGCAUAGUUUCAUCUCUUGUUAUUUCCUAGGUUACAUGUAAGACACAAGCUAUCUAAGGAAUAGUGUACACAGGGUUUCAUCCUCAUGAACCUAUUUCACCUUUCUCUUCAUUAAUACACUGCCACAUCAUCAAAAAAGAUUCACCUAAUUGGUUUAGCUUCCCUAUAACCGGCUAUACCUAUAGCCCACUAUAGUUCUUAUAGCUUUUAAAAAAGAUCACCGCUAAACCCUAUAGCCUGCUAUUUAAAACCUUGGAAGAGAGGAGAUGAUGGAUCUAACGAGUGGAACCCACAUGUUAGUGCCAUGCAGGUGGUUUAAUGCGGGUAUAGGUGAUUUAGAUCUCACGUGAACCAAUUAGCAAGUUUAGCAAGCUGGAUGUGUAUUUUGGGAGUUUGGGGAGUUAGAUGACACUUGCUUCGGCUGGCUGUACGUUUUACUCUUGGAAGUUUUAGCGUGGAGUUAGAUGCAUAUCAUGGCAACAAGAAAUAGAGAUGCUGAUCUACGAAUAACGAUAUACAAGAAUUACGAAGUUGAAGUAGCUAAUUUACCUUCUCUAUUUCUAAUCAGGUCCACUAAUUCUAUAUAAGGAAAAUUCUUAUGAUCAUCUCAAAAUACAAUUUGUUUUUGGAAACGAAAUUCAAAUUUGGAAAGGUGACCAUCCGCCCGCUCCAGCAGGCGAGUCUGCUGCCUUAAAUCGGUCGCACUCCGAUCACAUACGACACGUCCACAUGAUCCCACCCAACCGCAAGGGAAACCACGACGGAGAUGCCGCCGCCGCGAUGACUCCAACGCCGUUCCUCGGUGGCAUACAGCUGAAGCUGGCUUUCUCGCAAAUGUUCCCGGAGUAUCGGCGACGGCACUCAUCUCCCGGACGACACGCUCUCCGCCGUCUUCGCCCAGUUCACGGAUGUGGCCGACGUCGUCCGAUGCGCGGCCACAUGCCGGCGUUAAGCCCAAAUCGUGGCGACUGAUCCCCCGGCCGCCCUCUCUCCAGCUCCCCGCGGCGGCAGCGGCCGACCCUUGCCGUCGGCUUCUUCUACUAGUGUUAAGGAAUCAGUGCUUGUAGUUUAAGAGGGGAGGGGUUCAAGAGGGGAGGGACGAAUUAGGUAACUUAAAACCUUAGCCUAUGACUUUCACUAAUUUUGCAUCAAAACAUAAACUAUAUCAUGCUAUCUAAAUGUGCAUCUAUGGUUGAUCUAGUAUGAAACCCUCAUUCCAAAAUAAGUUUUGCAACCUAGAGCCAAUCCUAUCAAGAUAUUACUCUAGAAAGUAAAGGCAAUCAAGUUGCAGGUAUAAAAUGUGAAACGUAAGAAGUGAGGAUGAGGGGAAACAAACUCUUGACACGAUGAUUUAUCAUGUGGUAUCGAUAGGCAUUAAGCCACCACUAGUCCAUGCUGUUGAAGCACUCAAACAAGAGUAUUACUUCCUGAUCACCAAAUCUCUUCCGGGACACCCCUUGACUUGCCACAAAGGCUUGACCACUAAGGCUCGCACCAAGUUUCCCGGGCACCUUGUUGCCGUCUCCACUAAGGAGCUUCUCCAGGAAGGAAGGGAGUCUCCACGCCCCCCGCACAUGGUCGUCGACGCCACUCCACACUAAGCCUGAUGUUGGAAGACUUAAUGGUGAGCCACCAAGGAUCCAAGGUAUCGGCACACCUUGUACAAUUAUGGUUUACUUCUAGAACCGGUCACAAGGUAGGCACACCUUGCACUCCCUCUUUCUGUAGGCCUAUCCUAGCACUAAUCACUCUCCUAAGUUUGUGCUAAGCCUUUGAUAAAUCACUUAAGUACUUUUGGUGGCUUGAAUGUAUUCUUGAUGAGUCUUGAUCUCCAAUAGAUUUUUGCACACUCCAGCAACUGCAAAUGGAUGACUGGAGGGCGUAUAAAUAUCCCAAGGCAUCAAAGAGCCAUUGCUCUAACGGCUAGUUAAAGCGUACCAUUGGAUGUUCCAAUAGUGUCAUUUUGGUAGCAUCGGAACAUCCGGUGCAACUAGUUGUUGACUUCCCGCGCCCAAAUUUCUCACUGACACAUCAAAAAUUCAUCCGACGCUUCAUCUGAUAGUACCAUUGGAACAUCCGGUGCUGAAGGACUUCUGGCCAAAAUCUCUUUGGAACUUCGCAAUGUAAAUGUUUCGUCCGACGCCUCCAACUACUGACCAUCAGAUCAUCCGGUGCCUAAGGGUUAUCUUCGUCUUCUCUAUGAAUUGCUCCAAUGCAUGUAAAAUACAUGCCAUCGGAUCAUUCGAUGCACUUGAACUUUUUUUUUGAUUUUUCCAUUGUACCAAUUGCUCCGAUGGUUUGUCCGACGCUAGCUCCGGCCCGAUUUCCGAUUAUACUGAAUUUUCUGAGUUGAAUACCGCCACUUGCUUACCAAUAAUAAGCCUUGCUAAAAAAUAUCAUUUUUCCUUUUUUUUCGAUGCAUGUUUUUUCUCCCUUUCCUUUCUUUACCUUGGUUCUUGCGCCGCUCUUUCAUCGUCUCUUUCCUCUGUGUUGCCUGCUGCGCUAUUUUCUUUUCUCAUCUCUUUCCUUCCCGCAGCUUGCUCUAGCCUCGUUGCGCCGUCCACCCGCGACUCUCUCCGGCCACGCCUCGCUGCGCCGCUCCCACAUUUUGGUAGUCCUGCACUGUUCCCCAGCUGCCGCGUUGCAUCUCCACCACAGCCUCUUGUGCACCCGCCAUCCUUCCUUGUCGUAAGGGGACGUUUGGAUUCUGCCGCACGCUAACCCUGCCAAAGCGGCGGCGCGGCCAAAAUUCGGCGGCCGAUUCGGCCGCCCCGAUUUGGCCAUCCAAAAUGCACAAAAAUGAACUACGUGAGGCUAAGCCUGCCAAAUCAUAGUCAAAGUCCAAACACCGCUGAAUCUACAGCCAACCGCCAAAUUUUAGCCUGGCUCAUAUUGGCGCUCAUCCAAACGAGUCCACCCUCCCCGCAGGACCCAUGCGCCUUGAUCUCCCUCUCCACUGCCAUCGAGGACUGGAUCUGGCCGGAAUGGUGAGUGUGUGCCCGGAUCGGGCAGCUGCACGCCAUGGGCUUCAAUGUACAAUUUUUAAAGCAGAGGCUGAUACGAUAUGGAACAUCUCGUGCCUUGUAUCUUUCUCUCUUUUCUAUGCUCUCUUUGCAGUUUCUCGUGCAUUUUGUGUUGUUUUUUUCGUGUUGUUUCCUCUUGAGUCUUGGUGUUCAUGCAAUCUGCCUGCUUGGUUGUGGAACGAGUCAGGACCUCAGGGGCAAUUACAAUUUACAUUGCGGACGAGAUGUGUUUGAUCCUCCCCCCUAGUUGUGGCAUUCAGUGUGGACUUCAACAUGAAUUGCCAAUUCGUAGUCAUCUUGUACAUCAGUUUUCUGUCAGUUUGUUGUGAUCUGAAUUAUCAGUUUUCUGUGAUAUGAUAUUUCAGUUGGCAUGGUUCUCCUUUGUAUCAGCUUGGCCAUGAAAUCUGAAUGCAGAAUAUGAACUGAACCUGAAGGGCUUAUUACCUGUCAGUACUGGUUGAUAACAUUUUCUUUCUCUUUGAAUUUGGCUUCAUGUUGAACUCGAACAUCCAUAGAGUACAAGCUGUUGUAGCAGGUAAUUUGCAGUUAGCAGUGUUCUCCUUUAUAUCAUCUUGGCCCUGAAAUCUGACCUCAGAAUAUGAACCGAACAUGAGUGGCUUAGUAAUCGAUGCUGGUUGUUAACGUUACCUUUCUCUAUAUAUUUGUUGUUAUGCAGGUAAUUUAGCUCGGUGUUGAAGUUGGAACUUGACCAGCCAUGACACAAGCUGUUGUACCAGAAAGCAAGCAAGCAAGCAAGCAAUCGAGAUGAAGUUGAGAGCUGUGUGCCGGAAGCUGUACGACUGCAAGAAGGCGGCCGAGGAAGAGGCGGAGUCGCCGUCCAAUGCCAGCGCCCCUGGCUCUGGCCGGCAGCAACAAGAAGGUUGGGUGGGUGGGCCCUCAAUCAAGCUGGUUGGUGUCAUAGUGUGUAUGUGUGAAAUCCAGAUCUAGCAACACUCUCGCGUGCGCUAAUUAGAACUACGCCGGCAGGUGCGGGAGCGAGCGAUGAUGGACGUCAUCAUCCGGUUUGGUGUACCGCAGCUUUAUUUGCUUCAUUUUUGAUCGACCAUAUAGUGUACUGACGAGUGGUAGCCGAUAGGGCUAUGGGGCCCACCAGGUCAGUGUCCGAGUGAGUAGGGAGAGCAGAUGGAUGAAGCCAAUAAUUGGUUUGCCUUCGUUCAAGAGCCCACAUGGGCUGAUGCCUAUGCUGAUGGGCCGGGCCUAUGGGCGUCGUGCGUCAUUUGUUCGGGGUUUUUUUCGAAGCAUAUAUACACAUGUGAGGGUUGCUUAUCCUUGUAAAGGUGAGCUUCUUUGACAAGGGAAUGCUCUAAUCGACCAUGCCACUAAUCUCCAACCACCAAGUCACUAAACACCAUGUCUUUUUUUUGUUGAAAGAUCAUGAAUGAUUCUCGGUGUUAAUUAAUAAGAAGAAGGAGAGCAAUUACAGGCACAAGAGGUGCCAAAUUUUAAUGGACAGAUUGGGGCAUCGGAAUAGCCCCGCAACAGAAGGAAAAUAAAAAAUUGCCUAAACAAGAGGAACUGUACAUGUCUGUGCAGCAGCGAUUGUGAGAUGCAAAGCCAAAGAAAAAAUUUGGCAUUUCCCCGUGAUUUCCACGUGUGUUCCCAUGGCUCAAAGUGUACUGAUCGACCCUUGCAAAUGUGCACCGUAAGCUGACUUGGCGGAGUAUUCACCUGAAUCAGAUGAAUGCAAAACCAUUGAUGGACCCCGGCCAUGUGUGUCGUGUCAAAUUAAAGUUUUAUUUAAAGUAUAUGCACACGUGAUCCAUGAACUUGAAAGCACCACCACCACGGAUCUUCCUUUUCGACACAGUAGGACUAUAUAUAUAGGAGUAUAUAUUAUCUACAGCUAAUUAUCAUCCUUUCUAUAAACUAAACCAACUAAUGGCCACUUGCUAGCCUUAUUUAUUUUAUGAGACUUCUCCUUUGAAAAAACACAUAGAUGGACCUCGAUUGUUUGCAGAAAUUUCAGUCUAUUAAUCAAAAUAUAUACUAUUUAGUCCAAAUUUCAGCUUUUUCACUAGGGACCAAAAGUUUUCACAUAACAAAAUCCCAAUCCUGGUACGGCCAACAACGAAAAAAAACUCAAACAAUAAUAAAAGAUUGCACAAAAGGGGAAGAUAACGCUAGGGGUGGUAAAGGGCCCUCUAAUUUAAUCUAGCAAAUUUAAGGAUCGGGCUCAAUAAGGAUCGGAUCAUAAUACUAUAUGAUUUUGAGCUAAAUUAAAUAGGACUGAGUUGGAUUGUGAAGAGUGCAUGAGAGCCAUGAUCCAUUACCACCCCGAGUGUCGAAGAAGAGAUGCGGGUGCUUUGCUCCUGCCACAAUCCACAAUGAAGCCCCAUCCUCUGAUCUUAUGCACUGCGCAUUGAUUUGCGGACUCGUUGCACUCUGAAAUCUUUACAUUUUGCAUUCAUAAGAUGGUUAAAGAUCGUAUUCCUCUCCGAUCCACACAAAUUGAGUUGGCAAAGUUCAUCCACAGUUGAUUAACUUAAUCACUUUGGGAUGAGACCUCCUUUUUGCUACACACUCACACCAUAUCAAUGUUGUAAAUAGCGGGCUAUGACAUUUAGCGGAGAGUUCUUUUUAGCCGCUAUAGCUCCGCUACAUCCUGCUAUAACGCCGCUAUAGCCUGCUAUAUAGUACAACGAUAUUGUAGCGGCAAUUGCCAAAAACUGCUAUAGCCCGCUAUUUUAAGCAAUGCACCGUAUGCAUAUUACAAAUGCAUGGAGCUCGGAUGUGUACCCAGAGGCAGGUGGCCAUUGACUAUAGAUCGAUGAGCUACACAGUGUGCAUGCAGAUAUAUAAUAGAAGCAUAUGGCAAGGCAAGCGUGCGUGUGUCCCCCUUUUCCGUUCCUCUAGCUAGGGGACCAGAGAAGCAAUGCAACCCAACCCAACGCAAUGCAAUCAGCUGCAGCGGUCCAAUCGAUCGAUCGAGCAUGUCUUCUGCUACGACCUCGCGCCAAUUCACUGAAGAUCGGUCACCGCACCUUUCUCUACCUUUGAAGCAAUCAUCGCCAUCUCGCUUUCCAAUGAUGCACAAUCAACAACAGGUGUGCUAGCUCACCAGUGAUUUAAAGAUCGAUCUAGGCUGCAGCAGCAACACAGACAUCGAUCAUCAGUGGCAUGAAUGUCUACAUGAUGGAUCGUCCUAUCUGUGCCUGCCUGCAGCCUGGGCGACUGUUCCCGUGCAUGCGCCCUCUCAAGAGAGCACACCUCAGACAUGUUUGGUUCCGGUUAUAUAUGUAGUAAAUUGCCAAUCUAAGCCAUGUUUUGGUAACAUAUCAUUUCAAAUAUAAUGCACUACCCUACAUUAUGGAUCAAUCUGAUUGCUUAGCUUUCGCUUCGAGAGUCAACAUGAAACAGAGAAAAAUAAUGGAAUGCCACACGUUGCAUGCACCUGGUGCAGAGGCUAGCAGUAGCAGAGCUUCAAGUGUGCACAUGCCCUGUCGAGUGGCAUCUUGUCAUGAGCAUACUAUAGUCUGAUCAGAACUACAAUGAGGCCCAGGACUAUAUACCAUUACAUGUAUAUCAAGCCCAACUACAUAUUACAAAGCCACACUGCAGUUUUGUAGCUGCAUUAUUUGCUUACUACUUGUCUCUGUAUUUCCUGCAUAUUUUUAUUUGCGAAAAGACUUGAUCGGCAAUUUUACUACUCAUUAAGUGAUUGUUGAUACAGGGAUCAGAAAACUAAUGUUUCCAGCUUCUGAUCCUUGUAUUAACAAUCACUCUAAUUAAAAUGGGGCUAUGAAUUAGAUAUGUGGUCAACCCUCACCUAUCCAAACUAGUCCAUCAACUCAUGCAUGCUCUUAUGCACAUGCUAGUAUUUUAAGAGACGUAAACAUUUCCGAUGCAACAUAACUAUUAGAAGUUAUUAGUAAAUAAAUUUGGGCUCACAACCAAUACAAAGUGUUUAUAUUUGCUCCCUCUUUUGUUUAUUUUCUAACAUAAUACCAUUCAGAAAUUAUGUAAAAUUCAUCUAGAUGUGAUAGAGUUUUGUUACCAGUUACUCUAUAAGUUUUUUCGUCCCAAUUCAUAAUUUCCAUUUUGUACCGAAUACGUGUGUUCUUGACAUAUGCUAAGUUAAACCUUAGCUUGAGCAAUGUCAGCUUUUGUUGCAGCCCAUAUAUACUGUGACUUCAUAAUUCUGUAUUUUGGCUUUCCAAUUUCGAUCAUGCCUAUUGCAACUUAGUCCCACCAGCUUCAUCGGAGUUCGGAGGCCACGGGUGCGGGACGGGGUUCAAACCCCCACCAGCUUAGUCCCACAAUUGGGACAUUAGUUCAUUACCACCGCCCACCGGCCAGAGCCAUCAGCUAAUUUGAAAAGGUCCCCCCCCCCCCCCCCACACACACACACACGUUAAAUUGAAACCCUAGCAUCUUGGUUUUUUUUAGCAUAUUAGUUACUGCAAAUAGGUGUUUCACCCAACAUCAAGGUGCUCGAAAUUUCAAGUUUCCUUUAUCAAGGAACAAUGAGCGUAGCCAUAUAUUUUGGCUUAAAAUGAUGACCUCAAAAUUCAACUAUCAAUAAAGACAUAAUAUAACAUUUUCGUCAAAAUAUAAUAAAAUUAUCUAAGUAAAUUCUUAAUGUGUUACUAUAAUUAACAUAAAUUGCCACUAUCAUGGUGUGUGGGUCAUUAAGGAAAUUGACAAGCCCAUCGCUCCUUGCUUACAUGUAUGUGUUUGUCUCCAUGUAUUUUUAUACAUUAAUAGUGAGAUGCAUGGGUAAUCAGGACAUGUAGGGGUAGUUCGAGAUUUUUUAAUAAUGAAAUUGGGUAAUUUAAGAAUAAGCCUAGGGCUUACUUUAUGUUAUCUUUAAUAAUGUAAGAGGUUUAAAGUAGAUUAGGAGGGUUCCUUAUGUUUAUUUUCCGUAAUAGUAGAUGUAGAUAAUUUAGAUGCAAAUUUGGAAAUUACUUUACAUUAUUUUAUAAUGAUGGAGAUGGAUAAUUUAUACAUAUUUAAGGGCAGGGCACAGUUUAUGUCAUUUUUCAUAACUGUUGAGGUGAGUAAUUUAGACGAAAAUUGAAUCCAUGAGUAUUAUUGUCGAAAAUUAUUGAAUCUACAAAAUUGAUUGUUAGGUUAUUUGCAUUUAAAAAAUCUAUAUUUUACCUAUUUUCCUAGCAUCAUCUAGUGAUCGAGUAGUAAGGUGGAGGCUACAAAAGGAACCUUUCAUCAUUGGUAAAUGGUAAUAGUAAGGUUGAUUGCAUGAUACAUAUCUGUCAUAAGUUGUAGCAUGCUCGUUAUGCUUGAAAAUAUUUAGCAUUUUAAAAUGCGGGUGGUCAAACUUUUGCCCUAUAAUUCAUCUGUUUGAAGCUAUUUGUGUUGGUAAAAUGAGAGUACAUAAGAUUUGUGAAAAAUGACCACGAAUAAGCUAAGGCGGGAUGCAUGCCGUCCUAGCUUUGCUCAUAUAUAAAGCUAACCAGGUAUGGUGACACCGGAACUCGAUAUUAGGUAGGGUAUAACUGUAUAUCAUCUUAGAGAGGUUCUCUAGAAGACAUGUUAGAGAAAUAUUAAGAAAAUAUUUCAUUAUCAUAUCUCUCACAUAUUAGCGUACGUAUAUGGGCGAAAAAUAAUCAGAAGUUGUUUAUUGGAAUGUUUUGUAACUAGUCACCACAUAUUCUUAGACAGAAAAGUAACAAAUGUGAUCCUGCUUGCUGCAUGCAUGCAUGCAUGGCCAUAUGGUUCCCUUCUUGAAAAGCAGCACUCCCAGUACUUUCAUAUCAGAGACGCUGCAUAGAGUGGCAAUUGUGAAAUUACGACUGUGUGUGAAUGAAGCUUCUUCCUGACGCUAACCAUAAUAAACCGCUAUACUUUUUGCUGACCACUGUACUUUUUGACUGUUGCCCGUUGUGUUGCGUGGGACAGCCCAGUCCAGAGCAUCCUCAGGUACAAAGCAUCAACAAAGUAACUAACAACCAGUAAAUAAUACUAUUCAUCUGCCUUUAAUUUUUGCACAAGUUAGAAGAAGGUAUGUUACCAAACCUAUCCAGAGGUAUGACCAGUCUCGUGCAGCUUUGCCCAAGUACUCCCCUCGUUUCAAGAUUUACCCUAGAGAUGACACCCAAUGUUCAACAAUAACACUGUCGUCCUCCACUUUAACAUCGACGCUCAGUCACCCUUCUCCUCCUCCUUCACCUAUGGUGUCAUGGGGUGUCAUAUAUAACGGUUUGCAAACUUUAUAGGAACAUAUGCGGAGCCAUCACAAGAUGAACGCCCCCUCCCCCUACACAUGCACACACACGAAUGCCGGCUCCUUCCCCACACAGUUCUUGCACUUGUCAAUGGUGUGUAUACAUUGUGCGCUCUAGCAUGGCAGGAGGUGUGGUGAUGGUAUAGUGGCCAGUGGCGUAGCUGUAGAGGCACACUGGCCUGUUGGUUGGGCGGCGUGUGCCAUCGCGGGCAAUCCAAAUGGUGAGGUCCCACCAUUUGGUUGGGCGGCACACUGGCCUGUUGGUUGGGCGGCGUAUGCCAUAGCGGGCAAUCCAACGGCGUGAGCACUAGCCUGUUGGUUGGGCGGCGUGACACGCCGUUGGAUUGCCCGCGAUGGCACACGCCGCCCAACCAACAGGCCAGUGUGCCUCUGCAGCUACGCCACUAGCCACUAUACCAUCACUGUCGAGCAGCGCAGACGUCUUCAUGUCGCUCUCGGGAUCAAGUAUAUCCAUACCGUCAUAAGGGUCCUUGUUUUAUACUUUGUACGUAGAUUGAGCCUUAUUAGUGCAUGUUCUACAUUGAUAGUUCCCGAUAACUGCUCACACUGCUGAUUAUGAAACCGGUAGGGAUGCAAAAGUUUGGAAUUUAACCAACAGUGAUCUCGCUUUUUGCAAUAGUGUUAAGUGUUGUUUCCCCAAGAUAGACUAAAAUGAUUGUUCACAACAUUUAGCGCGCAUAAUGUAACUCUGAGUGCGAUCGAUCACCAAAUCAGCAACAGUUAUACGUGAACAUAAUCAAGAUCUCCAUCACCGAUCACAACUUGUAGGUGUAGCCGUCAGCAACGCCAAGAACGUGCACGGUUUGUAUUGUAUCCUCCUCCCAUCGGGUCGGUCAUGAGCACCACGAAAAAGAGGAAAAGCAGCAGCAACACAAAAAUAAGGCUACACAGAGACAGAAUGGUACAGGCCUACUUUUUCCUGCUUUAGUUUUUUUUUCUCUCUUCUCCUUGCAUUGCUCUCUCACCCGGGCCCGCCUGAGUCCCUCACUGAUAUCAUCCCUGUCUCAGUCCCAGCUCCCUUUCUCCUUCCCUCUCUCCCCUCCCAGCUGAUUCCCCCGUUCCCAUCAGCCUCAGCUCCCCUCCACUAUCUCCGAGCAGCGCAGCCACACCGCACCAGAGCCAGAGAGAGAGCUCUGCGAGGGAAAGCCGCAGCACAAGAGGCAAACCCUAGCACAAAGACUCACUUUCUCCGGAGCAAGCCAAGCCAAGCCAAGCCGGAUAGAUAGAGCAUAGCAUCCGCAUCGCCGCCGUACCCAACCAUGAUCUUCCCCCCUGCCUUCCUGGAUUCCUCGAGCUGGAACGAUAACCAGGUAAUCGGGAUUUCAGUCAAUUUUGUUUGCAUCUUCUCCUCCCCUUUCUUUUCCCCAGAUUUUAUUCACUCUCUUUUGAACAAGCACGAAUAAAAGGAGAAAGUUGCGGCGAUAAAUAUUGUUUGCAGCUAGCUCAAAAAGAAGAGAAUACCACUCCUCUACUAGGGCUUGCUAAAUAUUCCGAUCCGAGCACUAUAAGUCUGCUCGGUAUAUACUAGCUACUCGCCGCGGCUUGAUUUUCUUAGCUUGCCCAAAUGAAAUAAUUCAGCUUGACUUGUACAUGGUUUUUUUUUCCUCCUCGAUCUCUUAUUGAUGCUGCUUUUCUGAUCUUUGAUUCGAUUUUGUAGCAGCAGCAGCAGCAAGCCCACCACCAGGUUGCGGGAGGAGGAGGCGGCGGCGGCGACGGCAAUCAUGAGCUUCUCCAGCCAUCAAUCAUGGGGGGAGCGCUUCCCGAGGGCGCUGGCGGCGGCGGCGGCGCCGGGCAGGUGGGUCCGGCGAAGCCGAUGUCCAUGGCGGAGCGGGCACGGCUGGCAAGGAUCCCGCUGCCGGAGCCGGGGCUCAAGUGCCCCCGCUGCGAGUCCACCAACACCAAGUUCUGCUACUUCAACAACUACUCGCUCUCGCAGCCGCGCCACUUCUGCCGCGCCUGCCGCCGCUACUGGACCCGCGGCGGCGCGCUCCGCAACGUCCCCGUGGGCGGGGGCUACCGCCGCCACGCCAAGCGCGCGAAGCCCAAGGCAGCGGCGGCUGCGUCCGCGGCGACCUCCACCGGAACAGCGUCGGCCACCGCCGCCGCCGCCGCCGGGCUAGCUCCUGCCGGGUCCACGUCGUCGGCCUGCGCCACGACCAACGUGCCCGCGCUCCAGGGCCCCGCCAUGCUAGGCGGCAACCUCUCGAUGCUGCCGCCGCUGCUCCGCCUCGCCGACUUCGACGCCAUGAGCCUCGGCUCGAGCUUCUCCGGGAUGGCCGGGAAGCCUUCCCUCGACGCCGCCGGAGCCUACUCGGUGGGCGGCGGGAGCGGGCUGGAGCAUCAGUGGAGGGUGCAGCAGAUGCAAAGCUUCCCGUUCCUGCAUGCGAUGGACCAGGGCCCGCUGGGCCCACCCCUGGCAAUGACAAUGGCGCCGGGGAUGUUCCAGUUAGGUCUAGACAGUGGUGAUGGCCGCGGUGGCGGCGGCGGCAGCGGAGAAGACGGGUCGGGAGAGCUCCAUGUGAUGCAGGCCAAGAGGGAAGGCGGCUACCAAGCUAGAGGCAUGUAUGGCGAUCACCACUUCGCCGCUGCAGGUUACGCUUCCUAUUCCAACAAUGCUGCUGCAGGUAACCAUCUCUUGUAAUGGUCGAGCUUAAUUCAGGGCAAGCUACGAUCGAUCGAUCCGAUCGUUGUUCCUGCAACUAUUAGCUAGAGGCAGAGUGUGUGAGGAUGGUAUUGUGAUAUAGAAAAAAGCUAGCAUGCACUUGCAAUGUUUUCUUCUUCAAGAACUGGAAAGAGAGAGAGAGGGAGAGGAGGGGCUCGACUUGGAUAAUGGACGAGCCGUAUGAUGGAUCAUGCACAAGUAUUACCUACAGCUGCUAGUUAGCUUGCAUGAUCAUCACUUGUUCUAUGUUUCUUCUUCUUUUUUAUCUGAUCCUUUUAGGUUUCACUGUCGAUCGAGCAUUUGGGGUGAAGUAAUGUGUACUGCUGUUCAUCAUUUUGUUCAUGGAAACACCUAUCAUAUGUCAAUUAUUCCCCCCCUUUUAACUACAUAUAAAUAGUUCCCUCUCCAUACAUGAGCAAUAUUGUGGCUUGUUGUGAUCGAUCCCGAAAUGGAAAUACACACAUGAAUAUUGGUGAAUUUGAGAAGUGGUGCAACUACUUGGCUAAUGAUACGACGACAGUUAACCAAGACGUGUAUGUUUUAUCAUAUCCAUGAUAGGGAAAUUAAUGGAAUGGAGAUUACUUUCAUGCAUGCAUGAAUGUAUAGUUUAAGGAAUGCAUGCAUGCAUGCUGACAGUAUAUAAAAAGUAUAAGUGUUUACCAAGCAUGCAAUACUAUUAUGUAAAUCUAACAAUUUGUAGUAUUAUGUAUAUGUGUCACCCAUAUAAAGGAGUCGCUAAUAUAAUUUGGUGGUAGUAUUAUGCCGUAAUUGUAGUGUUACUCGUGCAGAAAAAGGGUGUAGUCAAAGAGCGAGCUGAGGCCCAUUCAAAAGGGUGUGUCUUUUGCUUGUUUUUCACCUUUUACUUUACCAUCUUUUUACAGUGAUAGAACGUACUAAAGCAAGCGUGAUGAAAUCCAAGGUCUUUUGUGUUCCAUGAAGACCAUAUUGAUCAGCUCAACUGACUAUGCACAAAUCUAGGUGGAGAGAGAGUAGUGUGAGAAAGAGAGAGUAGUGUGAGAGAGUGAGACAGAUAUCCUCAUCUGACUAUAGCUAGCAGCUGUGCCUAAAUUGUUUCCUUCUUCUUAGUUACUGAUCGAUCAGUGAAAAAAAACUGAAAGCACAUACUCAAAACUAGUUAUCAGUAUGGGGUUAGGUGGCAGUAUUACUCUAAUAUAUCUCCAUAAUAUCAUACGCUAUCUUAGGUAGGGUAUAGAUUAUGCAUAAUUUAUACAUGUAAGGACAAGAUAGAUGCUCAUGAUGCAUGGCACUGCUGGCAUAGAAUAAAGGAAAAGGAGGGAGUCCUGAAAAGAAAGAGAAUUCCUUCUUCAUAUGAGUUUGUGAUCUAGCUGCUGCCAAUGUACACGUAAGCCGGCAGCUAGCUAGCCCGGAGGCUAUAUGGAAAACAAUGGGUGGAUCUUUGAAUGAUUCGAGUGUAUAUCUAUAUAUGGAUCGAAGCGAGAAGGACGAGGAGAGAUGAGAGAUCAGUGAGGACGGCCGGCCGGCCGGCAGGCAGGGUGGGUCGUAGCUAUGAGCUAUCCAUGAAGUGUGAACUGAGGAGGAAGCCAUGCAUGGAUGCUGCUGCUGCGCAGGAUUACCGGCCGGUCAGUUACAUAGAAGUUUGAGAAGGAACACUGAGAAGUGAGAGAGAGAGAGAGAGAGAGUGAGUAGUACUGUAGCGUACAGGGGGCUAGGUUGCUUAGAACGGAGCGAUGCAGUGCAACGGUGUUCCCAAAAGCACGAGGGCCGGCCGGCAGCAUUGCAGGUACAGAAAAGCGAAAGGAAGCAGCGUACGAAGGAGAGAGAGAGAGAGAGAGAGCGGGGGGGAUGAUGAGAGAGAACAGAAUGUAGAGGGAGACUGGGAGAGAGAGAAGAUGAUCAGGAUGAUGAGAGAGACUAUAGCCGGUAGGUAGUAGGAUCGUCAUAGCUGGUGUGGUGAUUGGUAAUGGCGCCAGGGCCGAGCGGGGCGUACGUAUUGGAAUUGGAAUUGGAAUCGGAAGCGAAUGGUCCAAGAUCUCGAAUGCGCAUGUUACUCGGAGGCGGAGGGAAUCAGAUUCUCUCUGCUUUGCGCUGCCUGCUUUGGGUUGCCUUUGCUUUCUCGAAGGCCUAGGGAGCCCUACAACCCAACCCUGGCUGCUUGCUCGAUCAUCUCUCUCCUCCUCCCAGCGCCAGUCCCUGUUCUCCCCUUUGGGAGAAUAAAGCCAGCAUGCACAUGCACUCAUGCUCCUCCUCACCUCAUGCACCUAGCUAUCCCUCAACUCUCUCACAGACAGACAUACCCCUCGCAUUGCAUUGGCAUGGCUACUGAUGAUGAGUCAGGAAAGAUCUAGAGACACACACACCUGCAUUGCAUGGCCAUUGCAUAUAAGGUUCUCUCUUUUGUUCUGUAUGUUCACUUCUUCUUUUUUCCCUGGAUUCCUCCAGAGGAAUUCAAUGAUUUAACCCAUGCAUGCAUGUAAGACGUAGCAUAUAUAUUCUUUAAGGUAUCUCACACAGAUGGAUCGAUGGAUCGAUCGAAUCGAUCUAUCUCGUGUCUGUCCUCCAUCAUCAUGUACCUGUGGAUGGCAUGCAAUAUGCUGCCUGGCAAUAUCAUGUCCUUUCGAAAAUAAAUAGAAUGUGCUUAUCUCUUUCCUCUCAAUUGUUUUCAGUAAUUCGAUAUUGACAUUUUGUGAUUAGAUCAAAAAGAUUACUGCCACUCAGAUCAUUUCCAACUUCCUGCUCAAUCAACCUCCUUAGUUUCAAACAAUUCCUACUAAACUGGGAUCAAGGUGAACCCCCUUUCCCAAAGGGGAACCACCAUGAGCUAAACUAGCACAGGAAAUUGGUACUGACCAUACGGGAGUGAAGAAAAAGCCAAGCAAAAACGUAUGCGCGUAUAGAUCCACAAAAGGUCUGUAAAUUUCAUAUUUCUAGUUUGGUAUUAGAAUGUUAAGAGAACAAACACAUAGAGGGCGGGCACCCCUCCUUGUUCGUUCCUUUACUUGGGAAUAAGCGUGUGAAUCUAGAUAGUAUAUUAGAUCAUCAGUUCGUUUGGAAUGAGGUGCGUGUCACUGCACGUGCGCUCAGCAGCUAGCUGUUGUGAGGAUGGAAAGACAUUAUUUCAAACAGCGACUAGAGAAUACUAGUAGGUGGAACAGAUAUAAAGGUAGCUGUUUCUAAUUACCGAAGGAAUACAUUUAGCUGAUGAGAGCUCGGGACAAAUUUAUGGACUUGGAUGAGAGCUCGAGACAAGUUUUAGAGAUUGUUACGUACAUUUCAAGAGUACCGGGAUCAGGAUGAGAGCUCGGGACAAGUUUAAGUACUGCUAUGUGUAUUUUGAGAGUAAUGAGACUGCGAUGAGAACUUGGGACAAAGUGUAAGGACCACUGGUGAAAUUACUCUUUGCUCCAAGUAUCUCAUGGAGUUGAGGUUGGUACUUGGUAUGGUAUUUGUAUUUCCUUUGGUCGUACUAUAAAGGAAAGGAAGAUGUUAAUAGUGUCUUACAUUCUUACCAUUAUAGUGAAAGCUAGAAAUAUCCCUUCACCUACUCACAUUCACUUAUCUUGAACAAUUGGUAGGGCCAUAGAGAGUUAUAUAAUAAGAGAAAGAAGAAUCACUAGAAUCAGGAUCCUAGCUUGUUACUCUUAGUGAUUGGUAUCCCACCUAGACGACUCAGUGUCGUAUUCAUCUUUGUGAGGCUCAUUAGCUUGGAGCCUUGGAGGAGUAUUGUGGAAACCACAAUAUAAAAACUGAACUGGGUAUCCAUACCCUCUCCACAAAUCCACACCCACUUCAAAUGGGGAGGGUAUGGGUAGAAAAUUAUAUACCCAUUGGAAAUGAGGAGGGUAUAAUUAAUCAAUUGAAUAUGUAUAUUUACGUAGCACAAAGUUAAUUAUCCAUUGGAUAUGGGUGGGAUUGGGGAGGGUAUGAAGUGGAUAAUACUUAUUUGGAUUUAGGUGUGAACAAGAGUGGGUUUGUCCAUACCCUCCCCGAUGGCAGGCCUAGCUACACCCGCUCCAACAAAGACUAGUGGGGAACUCGAGAACUCAUCACAGAAGGUUGAUGGAGAAAAAUCUUCAGAAAACAUUUCAAUUGCUAUAAUUUACAUUGUAAAAUUUUCAGUUACUUAUGGUUAGAACUAGAGUGCAAAACUUUGAGCGUUUGUUAUACACACAGACACACUAGAAAUUGAUAGCACAUAUUUAAGCAUACGGGGGUUUAUAAUUGAUGAUCGAUAUACAUCUAGUUAAGUUUCUAGUUGUUGGAUAAAUCUUUAGAACCCAGUUCAUCCCAUUCUGAAGUCCUUCGGCGCAUAUAGAUCAGGUCUAUGAUGGCUCAUGCGGUUCCAUAGCCUUGUCAGAUUAUUGGGUAUGCCUUGCUGAAGCCUGAAGGUGGAGGAUGGGUUUCCUUUUCAAAGCUGUGUGUAGAGAGGUCCAGCGAGUGAUGGUACUUGGUAAGUGAGACAACGAUGAAGCCAGUUGGUUCGGUGCUUUUUUGAGGAAAUUCGAUCGAAUCCUUAGCUUUUAAAUAAGUUUGGGCACAAAAAGCACUCGUGGCGCUGAUUUGACACACGCAGAUAGACACGGUUUAUCCUGUCGUGUCAGCUGUCGAGCUGUCAUUCGCUACUCCAUGCAAGCUGAUAUUGGCCGGCGUGUGCAUGCAGGCAUGCAUCAACAGUGGGCGGGGUAAUGCUCUUGGUGGGCCUCCGUCUGUUCGGUUUCGAAGAUUGAGCCCAUGCCUUUGCAGUUUAAACAUUUGCCCUUUUCCUUUUUUUCUGCUUAAUUAAUGAAAUGUCUUUACCGCUGCAUAAAAUAAAAAUACACUUUUGAAUCGAGGUUAUUUGAAAAAGUACCGCUUUUUUUUAAAAAAUAUGGUCUUGCGAUCAAAUCUAAUACACGACCGCGCACGCAUCACAGCACACUCUAUCAAUCACGCACUAAGAAACACAUGGGGAUAGGACUUUGAGCAUGGGCAACACUAUGGUCCCAGCAGGUGCGAGUUAAACAUAACUGGCAAAUAAACAAGGUAAUUCUACAGGAGCACGGCGGUAGCAAUCAAAUUGGCUUAUCGCAGGAGCGCGUGGACUUGGACCUAGCUCAAACGAACUACACUUUUAUUAUUAAUUGGUUCGUCGGAAUUGCCUCCCAUGAUUAUUUCCACAGAAAUUUCCAUGUUGACCAGGCAACAAGUUUGUUCGUUGCCAAGGCAAAAGUAUCCUAAUGUCAGCAUGUCACGCCGCUAGGCAGCCUCCCUGACCUGCCUGCUAGCUAACUGCUGAAUAGCACAAGGGCAAUAUGAGCUGCAGCAUCUGGUUGCUUUUUGUUCUGCCUGUUCUUGACAAUAACCUCCACUGCACUUUUGUGUGUAGGAUAGAUUCAUCGCGAGUUGCGAACUAAGCGUAGUUGAUGCUAUGUCGAUUGAGUUGCUUAUGAUGGAACCUAUGGAAUUUUAUUCACUUGGCAUCCAGGGGCGGAUCCAGCGUGGGCCGCGCAGCCCAUCGGGUCGACGGUCUCUUAGAGCUAGCGAUGUCCAUACAUAGCAAUAGGACGUGUGGAAAAAAAAAACUGUCAGGAGUAAUAAGCCAGGCCAGACGUCGCCUGUAUAUCCAAUUCAGUUUUGCCUUUUGUCCAGCUACAAGAGACGCCUAAACGUGCUUAAAACGUUUGCAACGAGCUUGAAACGUACCCCAGGGUUACGGUGAGGAGACCAAGAUGCUUCUUCCCCUCAAAGGCACCUACAUCUCUAUACAUUAUCCAUGCCACUGGUCACUUUUUGUCAUCUUCUUCUCCGGUCCACCCAAAGGAAAAGGAAACGCACAUCACAUCGCUACCGUUUCCGCCUCGAGAAUUCAGACGGCCAGCGGCAGCCAACGCGGUCGGUCGCUGAUGAUGUACGGGUGAGACUGGGACCCAGUGUCAGCGUCAGCCCGGCGUCUAGAGGCCGGCCAGUUGACUCGGUCAGCCGGUCAGCCGGUCCACCCAGUCCGACGUGUAAUCCCGAGCCCAUCCUGGCCGUCCAUCUCCCCCGUCCCACCAUCUCGACCGUCGAUUCCGUUGCAGAACCCCCUCGCGCGCGGCGCGUCAGCUACUCGCCCACUCUUCCUCGCGUCACCGCACGGAAACCGCGUCCUCUUCUCCUUCUUCUUCAGUUUCUCCUCCGCCUCUUCGAUCCUCCCAACUCCCAAAAGGCGGAGGAGGCGAUCGUCAGCGGCGAUAGCCAGAGGGACCAAAGGCCGCCAUGUCGAUCCGCAAGGCGCUGGGCGCGGUGAAGGACCAGGCCACCAUCGGCAUCGCCCGGGUCUCGGGCGCCGUGAAGCCCGACCUCGACGUCGCCAUCGUGCGCGCCACCUCCCACGACGACGCUCCCCCCGACGACCGCCACGCGCGCGAGGUGCUCCGCCUCGCCUCCGGCGGGUCCCAGCGCGCCUGCGUCGCCUCCCUGGCGCGCCGCCUCGCGCGGACCCGCGACUACGUCGUCGCCGCCAAGUGCCUCGCGCUGCUGCACCGCCUCGCCGCCGAGGGGGACCCGCACCUUCGCGGUGAGCUCCUCCGCCCGGCCCCGAGCGGGAGGCGCGCGGGGGAGCCCGUGCUGUCGCUGCUCCUCGACUUCCGCGACGAGGCGCACGCCGCGUCGUGGGAACACUCGGCGUUCGUCCGUGCCUACGCGCUCUACCUCGACGAGCGCCUCCGGUUCCUCGUCUCCCUCCUGCCCCCGCCCCGCGCCGUGCGGUUCGCCGACGACUACAAUAACGCCGUCAGCGGCGCGUCCUCCCCGCCCGCGCCGGCGGCGAUGGUGCCGGUGGGCGACAUGGACCCCGACGGCCUCCUAAUCCGCGCGCGCCAGCUGCGGCAGCUGCUCGACCGCUUCCUCGCGUGCCGCCCCGCGGGCGCCGCCCGGACCAGCCGCGUCGUGCUCGCCGCGCUCUACCCGCUGCUCGGGGAUAGCUUCCAGCUCUACGAUGAAUUCUCCGCCGUGCUCGCUGCCCUGCUCGACCGCUUCUUCGACAUGGAGUACGCCGAGUGCGUCAAGGCGUUCGAGACCUACGUUGGCGCUGCCAAGCAGAUCGAAACCCUCCUCGCCUUCUACGCCUGGUGCGACGACGCCGGCGUCGCGCGGUCCUCCGACUUCCCCGACGUCAAGCGCGUCGACGAGAAGCUCCUCGAGACGCUCGAGCAGUUCCUGCGGGUGCGCGGCCGCGCAGGCCUCGGCUCGCCGCCGCCACUGCCACCGCAAUCGGUGCACCAAUCCGCCGGCCGUGACCAAGACGAGCCCGCGGAGUACGUCGACAUGAACGGCGUCAAGGCGCUCCCGGCGCCGCCGCCGGUGCGUGACAGCGCUGAGACCACCCGAUCGGUGCCGGCGAAAUCCUCCGCCGAUCAGGCGCGUCAGCCUGACUUGGUCGACCUUAGAGAACCAGCCGCCACGGCGGACGAGCAGGAGAACAAGCUCACGCUCGCGCUCUUCUCCGCGCCGCCGCCGGCCACGAAAGGUGCCGACAGCAGCUGGGUCGCGUUCCCAUCGGAAUCCGACGACGCUCCGGUGGCGAUCACGUCGGCGUGGCAGACGCCGGCCGCGGAGCCAGGGAAGGCGGACUGGGAGCUGGCGCUGGUGGAGACAGCGAGCAACCUGUCCCGGCAGACGGCGUCGCUCGGCGGCGGUAUGGACCCUCUCCUCCUCGGCGGGAUGUACGACCAGGGCGCUGUCCGGCGACAGGUGGCCGCGCAGGCGGUGUCGGGGAGCGCGAGCAGCGUGGCAUUGCCCACGCACGGGCACGGCGCGGCGGCGCCCGUGCUCAUGCUGCCGGCGCCCGACGGCACGGUGCAGGCGAUCGGCGGCGACCCGUUCGCGGCGUCGCUGGCGGUGCCGCCGCCGUCGUACGUGCAGAUGGCGGAGAUGGAGCGGAAGCAGCAGCUGCUGGUGCAGGAGCAGCAGAUGUGGGCGCAGUACCGGCAGGGCGGCAUGCAGGGGCAGCCUGUCGGCUUCAACGGGCUCGCCGCCGGCAGCGUGUUCGCAGCGAACACCGCGGUGGCCAUGCCCUACGGGAUGCCCGUGGCGUACAACCAUGUCGGUGGGUACUAUUAGCGAUAUGAGCAAUUGAGCAUCGUUAUUCUGUGAAUAAUACUCGUGACGACAACAAGUUAUAGUUCUUGUCUCUUGAUCGAUUCUGAAUGUGUUUGCAGUUUACACAAUAAUGAUAAAUUACUGAGAUAAGAAUCCGGUUAUGUUGGAUGUCGAUCUUGUUUCUAUCUUGGAAUUUAAAGUUGAAGUGGAGUUCAGGUUGGAAUUCACAUUUUUAUUUAAAAAAAGAUUGGAAUUCACAUUUCAGCAGCACAGCAGUUCACGUGUUCCUUGAUUAGCUUGUCCUAAACGCUAUUUCUUAAAGAAAUGAAAUAAGUAUCAAUCUUUGGCCAGCUCUUUGGCCAGCACCUGUACCAAUAUGAAAGCCCCAUAUUAGUCAUGUAUAUACAGUAUUAUCAUGGGAUUGUCUGUUUGGGAAGGUGAAACCUAGCUUGUAUGUAAAGCCAUAGUUUGGAUUGGAGUGGUUAGAGCUAAACUUUAGCCCGUACCUGUUUGGAGACAUACAACCUGCUUAUUACAGCAGCUGCGGCUACACUGCAGCCGCCGCUACAGCAACCACUAUAGUAGAGAGCUGUACACGGCAGCAGCUGUUACUCCAACAACUGCACACAGCCAAACAUCAAGUAGUUGUGCUGCUAUUCGAGCCUGCAGCCGAAUGGCUGGGCUGCACAGCAGCAGCAGGCGCUGCUCCAUAAGCUGCAACGAGCAGGUCCUAGCUAAUUGAUAGAGCUAUGUUUGGUAGUGAUAUAUAAUGUGUGUAAGUCCCUUACAAUAUGGUAGGAAUUUACACACAUGAUAUAUUGCUAAAAAAAUCUCGAUUUUCUGUUUGGGAAUUUUAAAGUUUUGAAAACACACAAUGAUAUAUUUAUAAAGGGGCAAAUGCCCCCUCCCCGACCAUCAACAUACACCUAGGCUCGGUGCAUGCAAACCAUUCUCACACACUAAGGGGCGUUUGGUUCCCUUUGCUUAUUUUUAGCAUGUGUCACAUCGAAUGUUUAAAUACUAAUUAGGAGUAUUAAACGUAGACUAUUUACAAAACCCAUUACACAGAUGGAGGCUAAAUGACGAGACAAAUCUAUUAAGCUUAAUUAAUCCAUCAUUAGCAAAUGUUUACUAUAGCAACACAUUGUCAAAUUAUGGACUAAUUAGGCUUAAUAGAUUCGUCUCACCGUUUAGCCUCCACUUAUGUAAUGGGUUUUGUAAAUAGUCUACAUUUAAUACUCCUAAUUAGUAUCUAAACAUUCGAUGUGACGGGUGCUAAAAAUAAGCCAGAGUAAUCAAACCAGGCCUAACUUUUGCAAAUCACAACAAAAGCAUGUGCAAGAGUCAUGCUGGAUGUUAAUCUUGUUUGUGUUGGAAUAGCUCCAGGUGAGAUUUUAGCAGCAUAGAAAAUAAUGUGAACUGCGUAUAAGUGAAAUAUUCUAUCAAUUUUUAAGUAUAUCAUUAUUAUUAUAAUAAUCAUAUAUUUUAAGGUGCACUUCCUCUGUCCUGAAAUGUAAGACAUCCCAGGGUUCAAAAUUUAUCUCAAAUAAGUGUCUUAGAAGUUUUUGGCAAGUACUCAAUCAAUUCAAUUAAAAACUUGCCAAAUAUUUCCCUUGUUAACUGGAAAACUUGUCGGAAAACUUGCCUUGUAUUAACAUUAGCUAAGGGUAUAUGAGACAUUUGUCCACCUCCUUAAUCUGUCAUAAAAGUUAUAGGAUGACUUGUAUUUCAGGAUGGAGGGAGUAUACUACAGUGAUCCAGUUUCCUUAGCUCGGUCGUGCUUGAUUUUUGUAAUUUGCCAAAUUUAGGGUGUAAUAAUCAUGAUAAUUAUUUUAUUAUAUGAUGGAAUCAAAUAAAUACUUCUUUCGAAAUAUCGCACCCUUCACUUGCUACAAAUUCAACGCCAAAUUGUAUUUCAUCAGCAGAAACACAAGUUCAACGCCAAAACCAUGAUCACUACCUCAAAGCAAGUUGUUUUAGUAUUAUCGUAAGUCCCAAGUUUUAUGAAAAAAUAAUACACCAACAUCUACAACAUUAAAUUAACAUUGUUAAAUCCACCGUGAAGUAUAUUGUUAGUGCAUUAUUUUGAUACAGUUGGUGCUAAUGUAAUGUUUGAUAAAUUUGAUCAAAAUUGAAAAAAAAACGACUUAGUAUAAAAAGGAAACGUCAUAUAUUUUGAAAUGGAUAGAGACAUUAAUAAGCACCGAUCUUGUCACUGAACCUUCAUCCGUGGUUGACGAUCAGCUGCAGUUUCGAUCGCUCAGAUGCAUCAUGGAUAUAUUCAUGGUUUUUGGUCUCUUCACGCCGCUGCAUCAAAGCAUACAAAUAUACAAUAGUUGAUGCGAACAGUGAUGGAGAAUUGUCCUUCCAUGUUGGCAUUGUAUAAGCUUGUGAUGCAGGGAUACUGGAAGUUGGAAUCUCCAUGCAUCAGCCUACCAGGCCAUGAGAGGUUCAGAAAAUGCCCUAUCGAGAGUUUGAGACGACGAUGAUGCCUGGAUUCUGAAGCUGUGGAAACGACACGGCCGGAACAGCUGGAUCGCGGUGACACUCGUACAUGUAUAUUAUACUACAACGGAAGUUACGGAUCCUGCAAUGCGGUUGAUAGAUGUCGUUAUCUUUUGACACUGCUUCAGUGCUCGCUCAUUCUAGCUUUGCAUUUAGUGUUUGGGGACAGCAUGGUGGUUGCAAGUCGCAUCAGUUCCAGUUUUUUGUCAGAAGGAGACCAAGCAGGUGAUAAAAAUCCAAGUGGGUCGAUGUAAUUUGAAUGCAACAUCUCCUGACUGCCCUGGUUGAUCCUCAGAAUUCAGAAUUCUCAGCUGACGACGGAUGCAGGCAGCAGCAUGGUGAUGACAUGAAUCGGACGUAUAAUGGGCCUAACGAGCCAUCCAUACGUUUUGGGCCGGGCCGAGCUUGGAUUGGUGCAACCAAAAAAGACGAGAAAAAGGAGCCAUGGAGGCCGGACACGCAGAUAAAUGAUGCCCAAGCCCACAAGUUUCUACCUCCCGCAUCUAUCAUUCUAUCUAUUGUUCUACUAUCAAAUACUAGAGGGAAUUGCAUGGCCGACUGUUUGAAAGAACAAAAAAAAGCUACUCCUUCCAUUUCAAUUCUAAAUUGUAGAUCGUUAUAGAAAAAUCAAAAAAAUCAAAAUGACAUAUUUCUGUACCAAGUCUUUUUUUAGCUUUGUUUCCCCAAAAGAUCAAGUAAUAGCGAGCUAUUAGUGGAACUAGCAAAGAUGCGGUUAGUGGUGGAUACAACCCAUAAACGUAACAGGGGUUUCCUUCUCCUCUCCUUUUCCCUCCAUCCCUCCUCUUCUUCCUAAAAAUUAUGGAAGGGCUCAAGGAAACUCCACUCUCCGAGAUGCGAUAGGGGGCUUGUGCCCCACCCAACCCAUCGCUAGAUCCGCCCCUGAACAUGGUUAUUCAUACAAAAACGGAUGCGAUGGUUAUUCUACUUUGCGUUAAUCCAAAGAAUAAUAUAAUGAUAAUCAGCCAGUGAAUGACUAGGAAUGCGUUCGUGCGUGCGUCCGGUUCGCCGCGAUGAACGUGUCGGCUCCUCAUCAAGAGACGAGACCUACCGUCAUCAGACUAAAAGCAAACGGGAAACUAACAAAUACAAGAGAAAUUGAAUAACAAUGCAAUUACACUAUACACUUAUUGUCACACCUGCUUGCUAAUACUCCCUCCGUUUCAAACUGUAAGUCAUUACAACUUUCUUGAAAAGUCAAAGUAUCUCGAGUUUGAUCAAAUUUAUACAAUAAAGUACUAACAUUUAUUAUAACAAAUAAGUACUAAUUAGAUUAUUCAUUAAAUAUAUUUUCAUAGUAUAUCUAUUCGGUGCCAUAAAUUUUUAUGAUCCUCUCUAUAAUUUUGGUCAAACAUAAAAUGAUUUGACUCUCCAUAAAAAUUGAAAUGACCUACAAUAUGGAAUGGAGGGAGUAUAAGUUUGUUAUACCAAAUAACACUCCUAGAUCGCCACGCAACGAAGUUUGUUGUGUUGUGAACGUUUUUUCUUUCUUUCUUUUUCGAGAGUGAGUGCUGAACGCGGCUGUGCUGCAAUUUGUCAGCAUUACACACAGAUCUUUUUCAUUCCUCUGAUGAAGAAAGUCCACACCUAACUCAAUCGAUCGAUCAGCAUUGUUUAUGCCAAUUAGUCGUAAUCUGCAACUCGGUCACAGGGGGAAACGACAGGGACAUGAUGCGUCUCCGAUGGAUCUGAAUCGGAUGAUUAGUUCUGAGAAAGGUUAACUUACUGGUGAUUUUUGCGUGCGUGCAUUGUUCAAAGGGUCAGGAAAUAUGUUAAGUUUUCUCACCGGAUCCAUCCGAACGUACGUAGGUUGGGGUGGUCAACUUCUCACCCAAUGCAAUCAACAUUGGCAACGCCGCAAAUAUUAUGCUGAAACGGUGUAAAACAUUUUCUAGAUACACUUUAUUAUUUUUAUGCCAAAAGCUUGGUUGCGUAUUCUUGAUUGCUGAUUUUCUUUUCUAAUUUGCUUGCACCCUCGGGAAUGUCCGAUUAUACCAAAUAUUUUUUCCCUUGGCCAUCCGAGCAAGUAACUAAAAAAAGUGCAAAAUAGUGAACAACUAGUUAAUACUUAAGAAAUAUUAACGUGUGUUUGGUUUCAGGGAUGGAAUGAAAUGGGAUGGGUCAAUUUCAUCUUUGGUUCAGGAACAUGGUGGGACUCAUGCUUAAAGAUCUAGUUCUCCAAUUGAGGAUGAGAUUCCAAUUUCUUAGGUAGUUUGAGAAAUUAAGGAUGAAAAGGAGGCUUAUUAUCCCUUCACUAUCCUUUUCUUUUUUAUUUAAGUAACUUAUUAGUGCAGAUGUGGACACUCACGCAUGCGCAUGUACAAACGAUUAUGGUAGACCGUACCACAAUAUGUAUUGAUGAAGUCGUGACUUACAUCUUAUCAUCAACGAGUCAUGAUAUACCGUUGAAUAAAUAUCCAUACAAAACACCAAACAUUUAGUGUGAUCCCCGACGAAUAGGAGUUACGAAUAAUUAGUCAUUGUGUCCAUCUACACUUAACCAUGCAAGCAACGCUGUCGUACUAACCUUUUUUCCCCUCCCCUUUCACAUAGCUCCUCAAAGCCUCUUUAUUCCCUCCUUUUCUUAUCGACAUUUCAGAAUCAAAUCAUACUGACGGCCCUGUAUACCGAAUCAGACUGAUGAGCACUACAAUUGCAACUGGAUGGUCCAUCCAUGUAUUGUAUGCUUAUCAUAAGGGUCGGAUUGCAUGAGAGAGCAGCAACAGAUCAGACGGUCCCUUUGCAGUGUUGGCACCGUUAUCAGGCCAUGCAUCGAUCCCUCGUAAAAAAAAGCCACGUAGGUAUGUAUUUGAAGGUAGGAGGAGAGACCCAUAACUUAGCAAAGUAGGUGGCCAUAUAUAAUUGUAGGUACCAUGCUAGGCGAGUGUGAAUGCACGCCAAAGAAGAAAAUGGAUGAACUCGCCAUGCGUUUGAGACGAGACGACCGGGCGACGGAUGGAUGGAUGAUGGGAUCAACGCGAAAUGGUCACCACUCGCCACGAACGGAGAGGGAUGGGAUGACUGCCCUGACCAGUCGUACGUCCCCCUGUUGAAGAAGAAGAGGAGGAUCCAUCCAUCGAAUCGAACGAGAUUACACGAGACCACACUGGCCUGCGCUCAUGGCUGGGCCCACCCCACCGUGGGACCCACGCAUGGGAGGUACAAGGGGUACCAUCCACCUCCAAUGCAUCUUUUGCUCAUAGGUGCAGCCAGGACCGUACUAGAAGCUGUGGAUUGGUUGUCAAGCAUCUAAUAAGCUAUGGACUACGUGUACCCACAAUUAUAUAUGGCCCAAAGUUAAUCUGGUAUAUAAAAAACAGGUGCACCUCGGGUGAUAUACCGUAAAAGUUGUCGAAAAGGAAAUUGCUUAAACCUGAGCUAUAUGGGUGUGGUUAUGACACACAUGCAUGCAAAUUUGUGGCCAGAUCAUACGUACCGGAUCACGUUUGUGACAUGUGAGGUUAAAGGUGAUGGUGGCCAGAUCAUCUCCCAAGAUUAACCAUGCAUAGUGCUGCCCGCAUAUUGCUAUUACUAUACAAACAAAUGAUGGAGCUGCGCAUAUGGCUGCGGAUAUAUAAUAAACGUGUACGGCUCGUGUCCGAACUGUCAGCUCCCCCCCUGGUGCUGCGCUGCAAGUAGCUGGGUGGGUGUGACGUGACAACAAGGCCCAUAGAAAAAAAAAACUAAGCAAACGGUGCCAUAAACGGACAUCCAGUUGAUACCAAAACAAUGGCGCGCGCGUGUGCUCGCACCGACGGCUGGCGCGGAUCUUCUGCACCGCUCAAUUACGGACGCAUGCAGUAAAAACAUCAGAUCAAACAACCGCUUCACAUCAUUUUUUUUUAACGCACGCAAAACCUGAGGCUAGUAAUUUUGAUCGAUGACUUUCACCUGCCGAGUUCGGUUUGUCUGCACAUGCGCUUCGAUCCAACGACGUCGAGUGCCCCGAUUCCCCGGUGGAAACGGGACUCGCGUUGCAUCGGACGUGGUGCUGCAGAAAAAGAAAAAAAACAAACAAAGCGCAACGCAACAAAGCAAGGAUCACAUCCACGGCAUGGCCUAGACGCCUAGCAAGUAUACUUCCAUGAGGUUAGCUCACACAGGAUCAGGAAUAAAACAAGAUGAGCCAUCCUAAUGGCAUUGUCACCUCACAAAGAAAAGAAAGAAAAUGUUUCCCCCAAAAAGCCCCUUCAUUAGCCGCAUUACUUGCAAGAUGUUAAUUGUAGUACCGAAAAGUACCGCAGAAACGGAGGGAAUCAUAACCAUCAUCACGCUUGCGGUUGCACCCACCAUUACGGGCAAAAAAAUAAGUGGAAAGGUGAAGGCCAUACCCAAAAAAAAAGGGAACUUGUCCAAUAGCUAGCGCCGACACGAUUUGGAGCAUGGGGUCCUUCAUUACAUUUGCCCGUCUUUCUUGGACGCGUUCAAAGGUUUUCAAAUCUCACUUCUCGUGCGGGAAAAUUUAAACAAAGAAAACCCCACUUCGCGGAAAGAAGGUCGUUCAAAUGUUUUCUUUCUUUCUUUCUUCAUAACAUCGAUUUCCAUGUGCCUUUUGAAAUCACAUAGUAUUUAUAUUUUCUGCCUUUUUAAAAUCACAUAGUAUUUAUAUUUUUGUGCCUGCUGAAAGCAAAACAGACACUUGGCUUUGGAGCAUAUAUGAGCAUGGAUACCACUACAAGAGUGAUCACUUUUCCUCCAUAGUUUUUUAAAAGCGGCUAACUGUUUCUAGUAUAUUUUGUUAAUUAGCUACAAUAUUGCAGAUAUUGAGUUUGUUGGAAUUACGCUAUCGACAAUUUCUGUUAAAACUGUUAUAUUGAAUGCUAGAAAUAGUAGAAUUAAAUUGCUGGUCAUUUCACCAAAAAAACUAAUAGACGCACCCCGUGGAGAAACAGUUGGGAAAGAUGAGAAAUUCUUGUGGCGUAGUGAAAACAAUUUCGAAAACUACAAUGUAAGUGGUUAGCAUCUAAUCCCACACCGAAAGAAAAGAAUAUGAGAAUAAUUCCUCGAGUAGGAAAAAGGGAGAAUAGUUCUGACAUGACAGCAAAAAUGGAAAGAAAAAAACGGGCCAAGUUUUUCAUAGGACAAAGAAAAAGUGAUUCUACCGGGCCGACUCCCGAUCAGAUGAUCCGACGGCUGUGGGUGAACGAGACGUCAAUUAGCGGUUGCACUUGCCCCGGUUGAUUUCAUCAGUAAAGAAAUCGGAGAUAUUUCGAAUCCCCCCUGUUUCGUUUCUUUCUUUCUUAAAUAUAGAGACAGUCCGUCUGACUGAGAGGAGAGAGCGUGUCGAUAAAAAGGCGUAAAGCCGUCGCCUCUCUUUCCCCAUUCCACGCUGCUUCGGCGCCCGGCACCCACCUCCCCCCACUUCGCCGCCGGCGGGUGGAGUCGGGCCGGAGCAGCCGCCUUUACCCCAAAAGCCUACCAAACUAUCCGGCGGCCGCCAUGGGGCACGGCGUCAGCUGCGCCCGCACCGGCGACGAGCACGACUACUUCCGCGCGGCGCAGCUCGGGGACCUCGACGCCCUCGCCGCGCUCCUCGCCGCCGACCCCUCCCUCGCGCGCCGCGCCACGCUCUACGACCGCCUCUCCGCGCUCCACAUCGCCGCCGCCAAUGGGCGCAUCGAGGUCGCUCCUCUUCUCCAGUCACCCACGCCAUGGAUCCCCGUCUCCUCCAGUUCUUCUCCUCGGCCUCUGACAUCUUGCUGCUUUCGCUGCAGGUGCUGUCCAUGAUCUUGGAUCACGGGGUGCCGCCGGACGUGGUGAAUCGGCACAAGCAGGUGCUGGAUCCCAUCAAACUGAUGCCUUUUUUUGUUUGCAACUUGCAAGGAUCUCUCUGCUAGCUGCUGAAAAAUCUCCUUUGUUUUUACCCCCGCAAAGGACAAAAAUCUCAUCUUUUUUUCUGCUUGCUGGCUUCUUGUUUGUGCUCCAGACUCCGCUGAUGCUCGCGGCGAUGCACGGCAAGAUCGACUGCGUGCUCAGGCUCCUCCAGGCCGGCGCCAAUGUGAGCAAAGCUUCAAAUUCCUUCUCCUAAUGAUUCCGCCGCUCGCAAGACUCACUCGCUAAUCAUAAGCUGUUCGAUCUGUGCAUCAUCAGAUCUUAAUGUUCGAUUCGGUGCACGCGCGGAGCUGCCUGCACCACGCUGCCUACUUCGGCCAUGUCGACUGCCUUCAGGCCAUCCUCUCGGCGGCGCAGACCACGCCGGUGGCCGACUCAUGGUGAGGUCUUUGUCUCCUCGUGGCUGUCUGGCUCUGUUGCCCGGCUUGAUGUUCGUGCCACUCACUCGUUGCUGUCGAAGCUUGGCAGGGGUUUCGCCCGGUUCGUCAACGUCAGGGACGACCACGGCGCCACGCCGCUGCAUCUCGCGGCCAGGCAGGGGCGGCCAGGGUGCUUGCAGAUGUUGCUGGAGAACGGCGCCAUUGUGUCCGCUUUGACCGGCUCAUACGGGUAAUCUUGCCGAUCUUGCCGCAGCCUCCAUUAGUCAGGGGAUGAGCUCAAUUAGCUUCUCUUCCUAAGUCAGAUUGCAGAUGCUGAUUCAGGUAUCGCUCUCUGCUGCAGGUUCCCUGGUAGCACAUCAUUGCAUCUGGCGGCUCGCAGCGGGAACCUGGAUUGCAUCCGGAAACUGCUUGCCUGGGGCGCAGAUCGUCUCCAAAGGGACUCGGCAGGGUGAGCACCACAUCCCUGACAUGCAAUCAGUUUAUAUAUAAUAUAAGGCCUGAAACAUUUGUUUAGUUAUUGUUCCGAUCACCAAGUUUAGUUGUUAGUUGUGACUCUAAAAAAACAACAACUUGUUCCUGUGUCCCUCGAUCAACUCAACGUCUACUAGCAAGUGGAGUCAUCAACCAUUUGUGGAAUUCACAUUCUCAAGUUGAGUCACCAUCCACUUGCCGAAUCAACAUUUGAAAAAUUCAAUGAGGGACCAGUUGUUGACCGCGAUGUUCUGAGAUUCUUCUUUUGCUGAAUUGCACAUACUCUUCUGCUGAGUCUUACGGCAAACGAUUUUGGUCCCUGCAGGAGGAUCCCGUAUGCUGUCGCGCUGAAGCGCAACCAUGAAGCGUGUGCAGCUUUGCUAAACCCUUCAUCAGCGGAGCCCAUGGUGUGGCCUUCACCUCUAAAGUUCAUCAGCGAGCUUGAUCCGGAAGCAAAGGCUCUCCUGGAAGCGGCCCUGAUGGAAGCCAACAGGGAGAGGGAGAAGAAGAUCUUGAAGGGCACGAAGUACUCUCUGCCAUCUCCUUCGCCUUGCGCCGCCGCCGAUGUUAUGGAUGAUGCAUCCUCGGAGGUAAAUUCUACUGUUUAUGUGACGAUUGUGGGAUUAGAAUUCCAUCUGCACGUUCAUUUGGUAGCUUAUUGAUGUGUGGCGGUUGUCAAAUGAGGGACUAACCAUCAUUCACUUGGGUUCGCUGACAGGUGAGCGAUGCAGAGCUGUGCUGCAUCUGCUUCGACCAGGCCUGCACCAUCGAGGUGCAGGACUGCGGGCACCAGAUGUGCGCGCCGUGCACGCUGGCGCUGUGCUGCCACAACAAGCCCAACCCGACGACCCUGACACUGCCGUCGCCGGCCUGCCCAUUCUGCCGCGGCAGCAUCUCGCGGCUGCUGGUGGCCCGGACAAGCACGUCUAGUGACCCCGACCCUGAGAAGGCAGUCUCCUCCCCGCAGCUCGCCCGGCGGCGGUCCCGGCGGUCUCACAACCUCAGUGACGGUGGCAGCAGCAGCUUCAAGGGGCUCUCGUCCGCCAUGGGGUCCUUCUCCAGGAUCGGGCGCGGCUCAAGCCGGAUGGUCGACUGCGACAGUGGCAGCCUGGACAAGCCCGAGCACGACCUGUGAAGCAGAGCAGAGCAGAGCAGAGCGCCGGCAUGUGGCAAGGUAAAGCCGAAGCAGCCGUCACCGCCGGCUUUCUGGGAGAAGAUGGACAUCCGAUCCAAUCCAAGCAUGUGUCUGGAGUGGAGGUGAUCGUGAGUUUAUAGAUAGGAGCUAAAUAAGUAGUGUCUCGCUAUGUCCCUGUCUGUCUGUCUGCCUGCCCUCCCUAUUUUUCCGGCGUGCCAGGAUUCACCUGGCCGCGCCAUAUUCCAUUGUCACCACCAGCUAUAGAUUCCUUGUCAUCCCAUUCCUAUGCUAUGCUUGAGCCGUUGAGCGCCACAGUCAUGUACUGUCGAUGUAACUGUCGGGGGAGCUUGGCCAUUCCAUUCAUGGCAUCACAAACACAGUCGGGUACUGUGGCUAGCGGACCGGCCUUGGCCUGGUGAUCUGAAGGAGUCAUUGGAGGUUGCAGCAGCGGCGUGAUGUGGAAGGUGCCAAGCUGUGUCUCUAAAGGUGGCCUGCCAUGGCAUGUGAACUCUGCCGGCCUGUCUCCGGCCGGUCUUGGCCGUCUCGUAGCCUGCCUUCGGUGUUAAUGGCUGCUGCAUUGCUGAGGGGCCUGAUCUGCUCUCAAUGGUCGCUUGGUCAGGGCUCGUGUACUGAUGCGGCUGGAGGCGGAGCAGAUCACGGCGGUGGUCCUUGGUCCUCGGAUGGCUUGAAAUUGAUGAAUCGGCUGAGGUGACAUACGCCUGCUCCUGCCGGGAUGACAAUGUACCGGCGCCAGCUUUAACUGCGGGGGUGACUGGUGAGUGAAGGUCACCGCCUCCGGUGGACUGGCUGCCAGCCCACCGGCCAUCGCCGUCCGGCUGUCGCAGCUCUGGCUGGUGCCAAGGGUCCGUGAUGGCUGCGGCAGCCGGCAGCGUCAGACCCAACCGAUGACGGCUCAGUCGGCAGUCACUGCUGCCGCAACUUGAUACUAGUUACUACUAAGUGUGUUGCCGUACAUCUGGCCUCUGCAAUGAGUGGCGGACGCGCUUUUGUAUGGUAUAGUAGGUGCAGUGAUCUCGUGAGAUGUAUGAUAUGAUUAUAUGAAUAUGAUCAUGGGGGUUUGCGAUUGCAUUGCAAGAUGGGAGCCAGAAAUGGAUGAUACGGCUUGAUUGAUUGAAGCAGCAUGGGGCCGAGGAUGGGCGAUGUCUGUCUGCGAGGAGCAUGAGGAGUGUGACACUGUAGCCACAUGUUCAAGGCUGACCGACUCGUAGAAGCUGCUAAGCCAACCCUGCCGUGUCGACUGGGCACUCGAGCUCAUUGUUAAAAGGACUUUGUCAACCUGUGCAAGGAAUUCUUCGGCAGCGACUCUGUUCAUAUGCAGAGUUUGCUAGACUAAAAGACGGCUGCAAGAGACAAGGAAGCAGGGGAAUAGUCUAAGCUUUGUUUGAAUGGGACACGCCGUGUUGGAAAUAACACAUCCAUCCAGCACUGAUGGAUGCAUUUCCAGGUCGCGUGGUUGACCAAACGCUGUUGUUCGAGGGCGUGUGACGGAGGCAGGCUCAAGCAGGUGAGACAGAUAUUUGUGAAGCUCGCUUGCUUGCUGUCAAGGAUGCGCGUCAUCGAGUGAUACAUACUCUUAAUCUAUCUAAACAAAAAUAUCUAAGGCAUCACACUUCAUCAGCUGAUGAAAUGGCCAAAAGGGAGUACAAGGGGUUGCCGUUUUGAGUGCCUGUUGAUGCGCUAAUGACUGGCACUCACUCGCCAAUGCCGUUGUCACUUUGUUUUCUGCCCAACUCGACUCGAAACCUUUUCUGGUUUCUCGUCUCAAAACUUUGGAUGUUAAAGCUAUCUUAAACAGUAGUGCCACACUGGAGGAAUAAGCCUCGCUAUUCUUGGGUCCGAGUAAUAUCUGGCUUCAAAAUUCUUAGAACUGGUGUUUUUGAGUUGAGUCAUCUUAAUCCCGGUUUAAACUUUAGAAAACAUAGAUAUUUAAACCACUUUAUUUAGUCUACAGAAUCACUAGCUACAAAAGCUCAAAAUUCUAGGAGUUUGAGCUCUUCCAAGCGAUCCAUUGUUAACUCAGAAAAUGAAAACGAAACAGGUUCCCCUCGGAAAGAAAAAGAGAGGAAAACUAUGGAUUUGAUAAGGACAGAAAGAGUCUUGGCACGGGCAAGCGUACCUAUAGGUUCUCCACGGCUGAGGAUGUCACGUCCAACUUGAGCACGACUGCGUCAGGAUUGGAGGGGGAAAUGCCACUGUUCUGGGUGCCCCUUGAUCGGCAGAAACGUCUGCCUCCUCACUCCACUUGGAUUGGAAUAUUGGAUUGAUCCUUCAACCUCAGCAGGGUGCGCGUCCCUGUGACGAAAACGACGGCUCCGCUGUUUUCCUGACACAAGGUAGGGUCACUGUUAAGCGGUGUUUGUUCCACGGACUAAAAUUUAGCUUCUAUCGUAUCAAAUAUUUAGAUACUAAUUAAGAGAACUAAAUAUGAGCUAAUUAUAAAACCAAUUGCAUAGAUGGAGCUAAUUAUAAAACAUGAGCUGAUAUUUUGUAAUUAGUCUAUGUUUAAUACUCCUAAUUAGUAUCUAAACAUUCGAUAUGAUAGGGAUUAAACUUUAGUUCGUGGAACCAAACACCAUCCUGUAGCUUGCAGCGAAGCAAUAGCAUCAUCAUAGAACAGGAUUCUGUUAACAUCGUAUAAUUCUGAUAACUUUACAACUUUACUGUCAAGUAUUGUUUUCAGGGUAUCACUCACCAAAAUAAGUUGGAAAAAAACAAUACUAACAAGUUUAUUUGCUAAUGUUACACCAAAAUCGUAGCAGAGGAGGCGGCCAAAACUUCAUAUCUUGAAAGGCCUAGUGAAAACCAAGUUGUGGCAUGUCGGGUUGCAGGGAUAUUCACAAUCUAUUUCCUUCACCUCUCUCCUGUCGAAGAACCAAUCUCCAACUGCUUCUGCAAUGCUCUGUUCAGUGUUCACCAAAACGAUUUAAAGAUUUGAAUGGCAGGCAAGGUAUCGCAAAAAAUGAGAUGAAAACUUUGUAACAAGAUCGUUAUCUUCAAGUUCAUAUACGAUUGUUACAGCACCUUAUUGUUCACUCUGGGCGAAGUUGGAGAAUGCCAGGUCAACGAGUUCAGCGAUUGACAAUGAACAAAGCACGAGUUGAUAUAAAAACCCCAGUCCCUUUUCUGCUUAACUUCACUUAUUGCGUCAUGCAGUUCUUUCCUGAAACCUGCAAAAUUUUGUAUUCGGCAUGUCAAAACACAUGGGUAUGAAUCCAGAAAGCCAGAUAAGUUAACAGGAAUAUAUUACAUGCUGGGUGUGCUAACCUUGGAGAAUUUCAAGUUGCUCAGAGCUGCACUUGGCGAUGUCCAGUCUGCAGUCCAGCCAUGAAUGUUGAGGGUCAGAUGCUUCAGGAGCUAACGCAUGUUGUACCUGAAAAAUAAAGUUUCAAGCAUAUGUUGAAAUUAAUAUUUUAAUACAGAAAUAGGACAUGUCGAAAUCUGAUGGAUACGGAUGAGGAUACCUGCCAAGCAUCAUAUGCUGGAUUGAGAAUGAAUACCGGGGUGACAAUGUGUUUCACAACUUCACGUGGAAAAAAACACUGGAACACAGUAUAAGGGGCAGUUUUAGAUUAUCAUAAGUUCAUAGCAAUGGGUGAUGGUACUAGUGUGGGUAAUUAUUACAUUUACAUUAUUGGGAAUGCAGUACUAACCUGGCCUGGCUCUAGAUUUGAGUUACAAUGCGAAAACUGUUCCCUUAGAUGCUGAAACAAGGCAUUCAGAAAACAAAGCAUGAAUGCUGGAAAAGGAAAAAAAUGGUGGGAGGUUGUCACAGAUAGAAAGAAACCUGAAGGCGGACAACAUCACUGUAAAAAGACUGCAUCGUCCUUUUCCCAGAAAUGUCCUCUCUGUAAUUGAAGAACAGACCAAAUGAAUUAGAUAGGAACCAAGUACACAGAAAAGUUGUACAAUUCCCAUUUUCCAAUGUUUUUUUACUGAUGAAGAUACUAGUACUAACUAAUUCCUGACUGGUAACAGGAAUUUAACAACUGUAAAAUUUGGUGCUUAUUGGCUGGCUAGCAGCCGGGAACAUGGAACGUGGCCACGUUCCUCGUCCCGGGAACGCCGUUCCGGGAACGAUUAUGUUCCAGGAAAGGGAACAAUUUAGUAUAAAAACCUUUCAUAAGUGUCUAACCACGUUCCUCAUUCCACGUUCCCGAUCCCAUCGUUCCAGGAACAUGGCUGCUCGCUGGCAUUUGGAAAUGCUUAAUGAGCUGGUACGAUAUAUAUAACUGUCAAUGCCUUUUUCUGGCGUUCAAAAGUGCAUCUGAAUACUGAAAUGGUUUUUGUUGACAUUGAAUGCCAUGAGGUGCAAGUAAUUCGGACUAUGGUCCCAGCUUCUGGUCUUAUAAUAACUCCUGGUACCAUCAGAUGCUGGUACCUGAGUUAUUACCAGUCAUUUUACUGAUGGAUUUGUACUGGUAUAUAAACACUAACGUCUAACAGACCAUUUUUCUAUAAUCUUUUCAUUCCUCGAAUCUAUAAUAGCAUUGAUAUCUAAACUCUAACAAAAUACCAUUAAAAUUCUUUAAAUUAGACUGAUUUUCCCCUCCAAAUCCUGUCUCCCAUUAAGAUUUUCUGCCACCGGCAGUUUUUGGAAUUGCUUCAGACUAUCACCAGGAUGUAGAGUAACAAGACACAUUCAUGUGAAAAGAUAAGCUAUGCAGCACACGUGACAAAAUAAACAAAUAAAUGGCAAAAACGUGUCAAUAACAAUCAAAGGAUGCUAUACGAAUACAUACACAUCAAGGAAAAAACCGCCAUCUGCAAGACAUUUAACCCUAGAAUCCUUUGGUAGCAGUGCACGAAAAGCAUCACAGUGAAUGUAAGUGGCUAGCCCACCAGCAGAGCAUCCUGUUAGGAAAGCCUGAAAGCUGGAAAUAGAAUAUCAGCAUCACACCAUCAGUAUAAUGGUUGAAUUACUUAUACGGGCAAAGAUGAAUUAAGAAGUAUGAUCAAUAUAUACAUCCUAAUCACGCCUAGUAACUAAAUUUCCAAGUACAUAUGAAUGUGCAGUGUACACUGUACUACAUAGUAAGGAAAAACAUCAAUGCAGACCAUCCAAAAUAGUCCUUUAGUAGCUCAUAGACAAUGAGUUAAUGAUACGAGUGGUCCCUUAGGUGAAUGCAAAAGUAUGAGACUAGUACUAUCGUAAUAAGUAACUAGGUUCCAUUAUUUACUGACUACUAUCACUGCCACAACCCAGUUCAUAUCAUGUUUCUUUAGGAAUCAAUCCAUAUUAAAUUGAUUGUGCACCACUGACCCAUUGUAAGAUUAUGACGUAACCUUCACCCAAUUAAAUUAAAAGCACAUGUACAGCACAAUAAGUUCAUGGAUCUAGAUGGUGCCUGAUUGAUUCAUACAGUUCAAUCAUUUCUACACCUGAGUAUCAAAAUAAGAAAUGUAUUUCUUUUCUUUUUCUUUGCAAGAAAAGGCAAUCGACUCUGAUUGCAAGUAAUGACCUGUUUAGCAUUUCUGAGCCCCUUGAAUACAAGUUCAUUCAUUACUGCCUCCCAGAUACGCUGACCUCUGAAGAAGAAUCUUGUGCCAUUCUGCAAGAAUUCACAGAAUAAGACUCGUUAUACACACUGACUACAAAGCAGAUUUGAUGGAAAAUAAGCAAGUCGGACCUGCAACUCAUCUUUGACGUUCCCAGAGAAUGACGCCCCAUCGCAAUACCUUAUCUUCACUUUGUUCCAGUUGUAAAAAUCUGCAAAUUGACAGCAGUACGAGCAUAUGAAAAUAUUAUUGUGACAUAAUAUGAAAGGACGACCAUUUAACUGCUGAAGUAAAGAAUUCAGUAAUUAACGGUUUGCAGCGAGAAAUUAAAACAGAGUUGAAAGCAUGUAAAUACUACAGGAAUACAUCUCUUUGGAGAUGCAAUGCCCAUUGUAGUUAAUUGGAAAACUGUUAAUUAAAUCAAAACAGACUGCUAGCUAGCUAAUUGCAUUUAGUGAGUAUGGUCAUUAGUGAAAUAUGAUCUAAAUGGUUACUAUGCAAAAUACCAAUUCAAGAUUGGCUAGAAAAUUGAUAAGGACUUGAUGCUUCUGAAGAAUUGUAAAGUCAAACUUCUCUGCAUGCACAAUUCCCAAAGUCUGAAGACAUGCUAAUGGGUGUAACAUUGCAAUUUAGACACAGAAACACAUCAUACAUUUUUUUUUAAAAAAAGGCACAUCAUAAAAGUAAAGGUAACAAACGUCAGACAGAUAGGAAGCAACAAUACCAGGAUUCUGGGAUUUAUCAUUGCUCAAGAUCCCGGUAAACUCAACCUGGCGUUCCAUGUACCGGGAUGAGCCCAAAAUCGAUCUCUGACGUGAGGCACAUGACUUGAGAUUACGGCACCAGCCUCCACCCUAAAGGUCAUGAAACAUAGAGAAUUUAGGGAACAGAAGCAUAAGGCAUUGAAACAACAGACAAGUGUAUUGUAGUAUCCGUACCAGAGUGGCACUGCGGAUACUGCAACAUUAUGUUUUGCUGAAAAUGGAAAACGUGCCUUAGCCUGCUCACAUUGCUAUACAUUUAUAUGCUCCAAAUGUAGGCAUUGCAAAAACAGUGCUACGUUUUCUCACCACAACAACACACACAUAAGCAAAUAGUGGCUAUCAUUACGAAACAACUUCAGUGAGAUAAUUCUUACUUCUGCACCUCGUUUCGAUGCCUGGAGGCUGGAGUUCAAAUUCACAACGAAUGCUGACCAAACUAAUUUUUGAAACUAAACGUGUACGAGAUUGUACCAAAACUGCACUCGACUGAAAACGUCGCCUACCUCCAAGUGGAUUAGCCAGCUUUCCGAUCCACUCCCAAAGCCUCUCCGCAGAUGGUACCCUGGCACGCUCCCAUCCAAGCAAACUGCAAAAGUAACAGCAAAAGUCCCACUCCAGCCGUGAGCACAAGCUUCAAUCAGAAACAAUAUGUAGUAGGUACUGACAAACUAAAGGGUGUUUUGAUUAGCUAGUGAAGUAGCGAGGAACCGAAGCCAGAGAAUGUGGCAUUGAAAUUGAAAUUUGAAAAACAGCAGGGGAAUUGGGAAGCGGGAACUCACGCGCGCCCUUCUCCUGAGCGCGGCGGACGAGUGUGAGCCCGACGAGGGCGGGGCUGCGUCCGCCGGCGGCGGAGGAGUCUGACGCGAGGGGCGCGGAGGCGUAGUAGGAGAGCGUGAGCAGCAGCGCGGCCGCGAGGAGCGCGACGGCGAAGGUGGCCCCGGCAGCGCCGGCCCGGCCGCGGCGGCGCCACCAGAGGCGCAGGUGGUGCGAGGCCGGGGCCGACGCGGAGGACGGCGGCGACGACGGCGGCAUGGUCGGGGCAGCAGCAGGAUCUGAUCGCGACGGCUGGCAGUGGCAGUGUCGCUCUGCGGUUGGUGGCCGCGCGUGCCUCGUUUUAUAUUGGGCCGGGCUGCCCCCACUGAAUCAUCCGGCCUUUAGGCCCGCCAGCGAGAAAAGCGAGGCUUUUGGUCCAAGUGUCCAUUCUUGCCCAUUCCCCCAAUCGCAAAGAUUCAAAGAAGAUCAGCAUGUCAGUUUCAGACAUCUGCUCAUCAUUGCAUAGUUCAUCUUUGACUAAGGAUCUGGGUCAAAUCAAUUCAAACAAUAGAAUUCCUUUACCUAAGAUUUUUUUUAAAAAAAAUCAAACAAGAGGAGGUGCCGCCAAAACUUUUUGCUCACUGGCUUUGUGACUAUCUAAUUCGUCAAUUACAAGCAGAAUUUACAAUGUACAUUGUAAAUCAGUAUAAUGCAUUCUACCAUUACAAUGCCGUGAUCAGUAGUGACAGGUUCAUAGACCUAUGAUCUCCAGAUCUUCCCCUCCAACGAAAUGAUGAUGAUGGAGACGUCGUCGUGGUACCGCCUCCGGUCGCCUUGCUGAACCUCGAGCAACUCAUGGAACCCCAUUCCUACACCAUCACAAUAAAUCGAUCAGAUAUAACCAUAAGCAUUACUACAGGCCUCUCUAUUCUGGAGUAAUGCUAGCUGAACACUCACCAGCUUGGUUGGCGGCGCGGAGGAGGAUCUCGUGGCUGAGGUACUUGGCGGGGUCCUCGUCGGGGUACCUGGAGGUGAAGGCCUCCACCUGCGCCACCACCUCCUCGUUGGUGAAGUAGUCGUAGAGGCCGUCAGAGGAGAGGAUCAUGAACUUGUCCCGCGAGCCCAGCCUGUGGUGCCGGAGGAACGGCCGGCAGGUGACGUACGGCGCCGUCCCGACGUAGUUCACCCGGAAGACCUGCAGGAGGGCCUUGUUCCACCUGGGCUGCAACGCAAGCUCCGCCGGAUAUAUCAAUGGCGAUCCAUCGUCGAGGAAGUGGCAGUGGGUAAGGUACACACCUCUUUUAGGUAGCCGGCUCCGAAUGCUCUUGUCACCUUCAGCGAACCCUUCACCCUGUCGUUCACAAUGCAGGCAGGAUCGUCUAGGUGCUCGCUCCUGAUCCGUCUCGCCUCCUGCACCAAUCAGACGCAGCAACUAGUUAGAGCUAAGAAUCGAUCGAGCCAGCGAGCAAGCGAUGGAGUACUAGUCAAUGAUCGUGGAUGAUCACCUUGUAGACGCUGGUGCUGUGGUCCAUGGUGAGCUGCAGCGCGGCGAGCUCUCCCAUGUCGGGCUGCUGCGACGGGGACUCGGCCGCCGCUCGCUGCGCCAGCACGGCGCGGCUGUCCCCGACGUUCAUCACGUACACGUCGGCGCCCUUCAUCAGCACCACCAGCACGCACGAUCCCAUCAUCGCCAGCUCCGGGCACUCCGCCGCGCGCUCCUCCGCCUCCGCGAAGAACGCCGCCUCCGUGCUCCUCAGGGCGCGCGCCAGCGCGUCCAGCACCUCCUGCUCCUGCUCGCCCGCGGCGCGGCGGCGGCCGUUGCACUGCUGCUGCUGCCCGUCCGGCCAGUCGGCGGGGUCGGCGUCCUCCGAUGAUAGCACGCCGUCGAGCUCGCGGCACACGGCGGCGUACAGGUUGGCGACGAGGUAGUCGGUGGCGUCGGGGCCGUUGAAGCCGUCGUAGAUGCCGACGAACAUCCAGCCGUGCUCCUCCGACACCACGAGGUGCACCCUGUCCUCCCCAGCCUUCCCGCGCGCCCACUCCACCCUCGCCGCGCCGUCGUCCGUCGCGGCCUCGCUGCCCUUGCUGCCGCUCUCGGCAUGGCUCCCGAUCGCCGCGCCAAUGCCGCCGCCGCUGCCAUUGCCGACCGCCACGGCGACGUGCUCGCCGCGGUCCUGGUUCCUGCUGGGGGACACGCAGGGGCUCGCGCGCAGCACCGACGCGAAGGCCCGGCGGAGGCCGCCGAGCAGCGGGCUCGGCUUAGACGCCUGCAGGCACUGGCGCCGGUGCCGCGUCGCGUAGAGGUCGGCGAGGAUCUGCUCGUCGGUGCGCCGGGGCUGCCGCGACACGGACACGCCGGAGGUCGUCGCGGACGUCGACGGCGACGUGCUGUACUCCAGCGGGCCCGAGUACUGCCGCGGCUGGAGCUUCCGGAACGAGAACGAGUUGGAGCUGUCGAAUGACGACGAGCCGGAGAAGGACAUCUGAUCGUUCAGAACGGAGCCGCCGCCGCCGCCGCCGCCGGAGCCCACCGUGGACUGGUUCGACGGCAGCAACACGCCGUGGAUGGCGCCGGCGAACGCGGGGCCCUCGCGGCCGUCGAAGCUGAGAAUGUGACCGAUGCUGCUGCUGCCAUCAUCGGCCGGGCCGUUGGUUUGCCCGUCCGCAGCCGUGCCGUCGUCGGCGCGGUGACCGCGCCCACCACGGUGGGCCGGCGCGAAGCACGGCGUCGCCACCCUCGCCACGCGGUUGCCCAUGGCGACGGCGAGACGUGGGCAAAGCCAAGACGCAGGCAGCGUGUCGGCGUCGCCGGAUCUGGAUUGGCAUCGGGGAAUGUGGCGCCGGUCGGGGGGCAAAAAAAUGGGAGGCAAGAGGGAAGGGAACGGGGGGAGGGCGUUGACAUUGCCGCGAGCAAAUAAGGUUUGUUUAUGGAGUUGACCUGGAUCUAUCGCUUUGGAUUUGUUUUCUUGUCUCUGCGAUCAGCCUCGUAAUCCAAGUUGACUUUUGGUUCUCACGAGUAAAAUAGCAUGGCAAGCUUGGAGCUUCAGGGGCUGACUAGAUUGGGCCGGCGCUCAACGUGUCGUGACAUCCGGUCCUUUUUGCAUUUAACAUGCCGUAUUUGCAUCCGAAAUGGACCUCUGGCUUCUAUCUUGUCCCCCUCUGGCCCUCUCGUCUCCCAUGGCUCCUCUGCGUUGAGAAGUUGUUAGAGGUGGAUCACAUAGGAGUUGGAGAGGAAGGGAAAGAAAAAAAAAAUGACAAUUGGGGGAGGAAGGAAAACACGAAUAUCACAUAGCUUCUCUAGGACCAAAGACUUGCCCGAAACUCCGUGAGAAAAGAAAUGCCGCAUGUCAAGUAGCAUCAUGUAUUUUUAUACGAAUGCCCAAAGUCAACAUAUGAAAGGAAAAAAAUUCCAUUCACUAUAAAAGUAAUGAUAAAAAAUUAUGAUGUAUUUUUAAUAUGUGUUAUGAUGUCUGCUAUCAUCUCACAAAAAUUUAACUUAAAACUGCACGGUCUCCACUUACGCGUGGAGAAACAAAUUUUUUCUCCCUCGCUUAUUUUGGUAUAUCCAGAUAUAUAUUUGCAUUCCGUAUUGCAAAUUUGACUGAUGUUGCAUUGCAGGUCAUGUUAAAACGGUACAAAGGGUUACAAAAUUGCCCUCCAUUCAUGUCCGUGUACCUUAAAAAACAAUCUUUUCAUCAAAUCGUCGGUUUUUUGAAAUGCAAAGGCUGACAGAGAUUGCCGGCUUUAUAUUAAUUAAUAGAGAAGAGUGUAGCAAAAUCUAAGCCCAAAAAUGUAACAGAAAAAGGUACAACUAUGCAAGUAACAACAUCGCAUCAAAUAGUCAUUGAGCAUAACUUAACGAAGAUAUAUGACCAUUUGGUUUGAUUAUGUACUCUCUAUCCUAAAUUAUAGAUUAUUUUGGGACGGAGGAGUACCUCCUACUAAUAAAAAGAUAAGACAUGACUGAUGAGCCAAUCGUCGGUUAGUUCGUUGCGAUGCCUAAAGCGUCGUCACUGAAACUCCACUCGGAACCAACCGCCAGUGCAAGACAAACCGAAGAGAGAGAUGGAUUGCACUGUUGUUGGACAAGUUGCAUUACAAUCCCUGUGCAUUUCUUCGAUGCUACGCCAUGCCCACAUCUGCAACACAUCAUGAUCAUACAUAGGUACAUAACAUGCAUACACCUGCGCUGACUUUGGUAGCCAUAUGGAAAGUUGAAGAGCAGGAUUAUACAAACCAUAGCACCUGCAGCAGUGCGAGAGAGAGAGAGAGAGAGAGAGAGAGCCAUUUUAAUUUUCUGCGCAGCGGUAAACUCUAAACAAAGCCGGCGAUUGGAUGGGGGGCAACCCCAAGUCAAUCCCCAGACUGUUUUUUUUAUAAAAAAAAUGGUAUACGGUGGCACUACUUGCAUUGCAUGAAAAUUCAAACGUAAUUUUAUUUCGAGAGCAAGUGGACUACUACACACUUGUAUACAAUAUACGCAUCCAUACGUGUAGCAGUGUACAACGAGGUGAAAUAUUUAGCAUAUAUGUACCAUACGUAUAUAUAAAUAUUUGGUAUAUAUGUAUAUGCCGGAGCCAAUGAAUCGCCGGGAAUAUCCUGCCGGAUCUUAGCUUGCACCAUGCAUGAUCUAGCUGGUUCCUUUUGACGUCGUUAGAUAGAAAAAACAACGUUAUUUGUGGCUAGCAGUACCAUGAUAGCAAGAGAGAAUUUGUUUGGUGUUUGACUAUUUGCAGAUCGUGCGGCGUAUAAAACUGGUGAAGGCUAGCUGCUCAUAGGUCGUAAUACCUGAUUCAGUAUUCAACUAUCGAUGGUGAUGAGCUCAAUUUUAAUAACCAUUUCGGUUUAAGCUUCCUCACUAAGGAACGUAUAAAAAACCGGCCGGGCGAGGGCUCCCCAAUAUAUUCGGACCUUUUUUUGAGAUCCGGGCGGCUCAGCUCCUCCCGCAAGAACACUAUACAAUAUUGUUUGGUACUGUAGCACGAAGCCUAACGAGUCAUGAAGGAAAAUAAAUCAAGAAAGAGGUGAAGCCGAAAACUGUGGCUCCUCUGAGUUCGACUCCGGCUCCUAUGCACUAUAGUGAUGCUACAGUGCGUCCCAGCCGCGCCAAAGGGGCUCUCAGUGUCCCUUCAAUGUUUUAUGAAGCUAUUUACUUUCCGCUGACAUCAGUAUCAGCGUGAUAUAAUGAUACGUCCGAUGAAAAUGCGAAAGCCUGAACAACCAACGGAGUGAAAAUUUCUAGGUAAUUGGAGGCAACUUGCUAAUGUGGUGGUAGAGUGCACAUGCGUGUAACCUUUUACUUGAAAAAAAAAUGUAGCUACAUACGGAGUUCUUGAUUAGAAAGCUAUUUAAAAGAAAGGAAAGAUAAACACGUUUUAGAUUCCAGAAUUCGAAAUGAAGCCGUUUUAAACUUGAAGAGAGAAUAAAAAGGACCAAGAUGAUUUUUCUUUCAAAAGAGUAGGGCUCAGAGGAUUAUUGUAAUUAAAAGGUACAGCAUAUUUCUUAAAAUACUUACAAAGUGUCCAAUUGACUUGCAGAGAGGCGCUGAAAAAAACGGAUGAUUUGUAUGCACCACUACGCAUGUGUAUUGGAUGCUUUGGACAUGAUUAGACUAGACGCUCUCACAGAUUCUCCAGCUUUUGUUUUCCUUCAUCUGUUUCUGCUGUUUCGCUUUUUCUGUGUCUAUUCUCUUCUCCAAGGUUCAUUCAAGAUUCAACUCAAAUUAUUUUUUUUCUGAUUUUAAACCAAGAAUGAAGAAUCAGCUUGUAAUUUAAAUCACCUUUGUGCAGUGGUGUGGACUUUCUACUGUAACGGCAUUAUUCUCCAGAAAUUUUUAAGGGAAAAAUAAGCUGUACAAUUUUUAAGAUAUUCGUAUUCUUUCUUCUGGCUCAAUUAGAUAUUUAUUCCACUAUCCAAAGGAAAAAUCUGAAAAUAACAGUAGCCUGAAACUGCAGCUCGCCGUGUUGAUCUGAUGUUUCUAAUUUCAGGGUGCUCCGCAUGCAUUUCGGGAAAUCUUUUCAGAGAUUACUCUCCGCGCCAUGAACUUAGGUUGGAGCUUUGAAAAGAGUGAUUCAUCGCGGGUACUUGGCAUCAACUGAGCCGUUCAUGUGAUCGGCUGGCUCUCUGUCAGACAGAUGACGCCGUGCUCAGUGCCGCCGGUGUUCACGACUCACGAGUCCUUGCUCAUGUGCACCCCGGACCAGUGCUGUACUGCUGCCUGCUGAUGGCUGCCUGUUUCUCUACAGAGAUCUUCCUCUGCUUUCAUAGUUUGUGAUAUCGAAAAGGCUGAUGCCUUACUGCUGAAAGGAAUUUGCACAAGCACGAUGAGGGGGAAAACAUUCAUGAUCUGUUUUCCGUUUUUUUUUCAGAUGACUGUCCAUGAUUUUGAUCAGAGAAACUGUUUUCUUUGCAACACAUCUCAAACACAGAGUAACAGAUGCAGGCAGUCACCGAACACACAGCUAGUGCUGAAACACAUACAUAUAUUAAAGGUGGCAUGCACGAGGAGGACACACAAGAUCGACGACGGCAUCGUCGAUCACCAUAGGCACGUUCAGUUCAGACAACCCCAGCUGAGACACGGCAGGCGACCAUGAAUGACACGACACGACGCUGCAGAUAAUGAUGGAUGGCGCAGUUGGCAAGAUCUUAUUUAGUAGACGCUGCUACUAUAUUAGUAUGCUGCUGGGGGGCGCUUCUCCUUCCUCCUCGCGCUCCAUGGCGCCGCCGCCUCAGUUGCAGCUGCAGCAGGAGCAGCCGCAGCUGGUGCCGCACUUGCAGGUGUUGCAGUCGCAGCCGCCGGCCUCCGCGGCCGCCUCGAACCCGCCGGAGCUCCUGCACCCACACGCAGUCAUGGUUCAGUAACAUAACAACAGCAGCGGCGGCAAUGGAUCGAUCGAGAAGACGAAGCAAAGGAUAGUUCCCCACGCCAGACUUAC